rnacentral:lncRNA from 1 species
UCUAUUCCUACUUAAAACUUAAGCACCAAGAAAAGAUUGUUUUUUCCCCUGUGUCCUUUCUAUUUCUUAACUCUGUGUGGAUAUAUGCUCUAUCUGCUAAUCCAUGAUUUGAAUCAGAAAAAUCUGAAAGAUAUGAAGUGGAAGUCCAAGUAAACAUGUUUGCUACUAUCUUACAUAUUACUAACGAAUUAUGAAAAUUAUUUCUAGCGUAAUGGUGUAAAAAUUCAAUGAUAUGAUCAACUCAUAUUUUUGCAGGCUGAUAAUCAGAUGAACAGUGAUGUCAUGAGUGUUGAAUAAAGGAAGUUUAGAUGCAUGGAGCCAAUGUUUCUCUUCCCUGUGUUUUUCCAUUACGUUCAAUAAAAAAUUGCACUUUAUUGUAUGUUGAACUUCAAAAUAUUGGUAGUUUCUUUUUACUCAGUGUGUUGUAUUGCUGUAAUCAUUUUACCUUGCUUUAGCUUUUGACUAUGGAAUUACUGCUGCUUUCAUUUUACCUACUUAUAAUUUUUUUUCUUGACAAAGUGGCAAAUAGAAAACUGCAUGGUCUUGCGCUCUUACUUUAUUGCACCUAAUGUAAUUUGCCUUAGCUUGAUGAGUAUGGUCAUUGUACUUUGAGCAGGUUUUGCUAAGUAAAUUAAACUUACUUUUAUGUAAUAUUUCAUUCACGUACAUAUAUAUUUGGAACCUAAUAGGAGAGGCUUAUUCUCUUAGAGCGACCCGUUGUAAUUUUUUCAGGAUUUCGAAGAUCGGAAGCCAAUGGAAGGAGAGACUUGUAAGUUUUGGGUAGAAUUAUGAGUGAGUUAUAGAAAUUUCAACCAAAAAUUGAGAUCUAUUGUAGUUUGCUAUAGUUGCAAUAUAACUCCAAAUCCUUCAUUGUCUUUAAAUUGUGGUUGGGUUCUUCCAUCGUAUCCAUAAUUGUGUUAAAUACAUUGAUAAAUAUAUUCCUUCUAAUGUGCAUUACAUCUAAAUUAAAUGCCACAAAGCAUAUCCAAGAAUGUGUUUAAUCAAUUUAUUUUUUCUUACAAGCUUUAUCGGUUAUAAUUUUGGGAAGUUUCUUAUAGUGGUAACUUGACGUGUAAUAAAUGAUGCUACCAAUGGCCUGAUUUUGUAAACAGGGCAGGUUAGUUUCUGUUUAACAGAACAUUUGAAGACUUGUUUUAUGCAAACAUUAAUUAUUGUAAACAAGAUUAGAGUUGUCAUCCUUACUUUGGCUUAACAUUUUAAACAGGUAAAGAUUUGGUAUUUGAUUAACCUUUGGAAAAGGAACGUAAUGUACAGGCCCCGUUUUCAUUGAGAAGUAUGGUGCGUCUAUUAUGAAACACGACAUCAAGCCGGUCCCCAAUAUAAAAGCACAAAAAAAUAAAAAAAAAUAAAAAUAAAAAAAAAAAGAAAAAGGAAAAGGAAAAAAAUGAUUCAUUCUACAGGCUUGCAUAUAUGCAAUCACAAUAAGCUUAACCCUUUAUUUGUCAUCAUUUAUUUUAAAUUAUUUUUCAUUAUUUUUUCUACAACACUCAUUAUUAAUCACACAUUCUUCAUUAAAUAAUAUUACACGCAGAUCAAGAAUUUUUCUUUCUUUUUUAACCACACAUUCUUCAUCAAUUACUAAUUCAUAAUACAUUUUUUCAAAUUAUCAGGGCUCAAGCAGGAACAUAAAAGGCGAUCAUUUUCCAAAAACAUAAUUCAAACAUAUCAUUUCUUAGUACAAAAAGAUGAUCAAAACAGUUCCUUAUAAGUUGCGAUCAAAAGAGGGGGCUAGAUUAGAACCAUAACGCGUUAGGAGCGAUUAAAACUUACCUUGAAAACCCAUUUUUUAGUACAAAGUUUCGAAAAACUUCAGCCUUGUUUCUUCAAGACUUUAACAUCCUGUCCCACGCUAGGGACUCCAACCCGCAACUCUCGCAGGCAAACUGAUAAUGUAUUUUAAGUGAGUGCGCUAAAUACUCCUUGUUAUAAAUAGAAACUAAAUCUUCUUAUAAAGUUGGGUAACAAUAAUAAAAUACUUAUGCAAUCUUGUUUCCAUAAAUCAUAUUCUGAAGCUGCUCUCGGAGCAUAGCCCAAUGGUACAAAAGACAGGAGUGAGGUUAUCUCAUGUCUUGCUGCAGCCGCAAUGUAGGGAUUCGAUUCCUACGAUAUAGAAUUGGAUUCCUUGUAGGCGCAAUGUACAAGCAACUCUUGUUCCCUGGCCUAUUGGAGCACAUCCCGCGAUUUACCUCCCUCACAAAGCUCUAGGGGUUGGACGAUGGAGAUCCUUAAGGUUGGGGUUUAACCUUUUUUUUUCAUAUUCUGAAGCAGUAAGUGACUAUCUAGUUUGUAUAGAAUAUUUUGGAAUUCUUCAAGACUCAGAGCCUUCUAUAGAAUUUGUGAACUGCUCAUCAGGUUUUAAACUUCCGGCAUUCAUUGCCUCCAUAAUUAGUUUGUAGUUGUGCUUUGCAAAUUGUUUAGCAAAUCAACAUUUUACAUUAUUUGGUGAACUUGGUGUUAGGGAAUAUGGUAUGACACAUCUCUGAUUAUGACUUGUUUCUUUAGUUGUGGCAUUCAUUUUUAAUAUCGUGUGUUAUUAUACUAUUUCAUUUUAUUACCUAUAUUAAAUAAUGUCCGUAAUGGAGUAAUUUCUUGGCUUAGUCUAUCUUAUAUAAAUAGUUUUUACUAUUAUUCAUAUGCAGAUAAUGCAAUUCAUAGAUACAUAUUUUAUUCACCUAAUAAUGGUAAUGACAAAAACCAUUUAUUUCUUGUCUCUUACUAGCUCUUCCGCUCUCAAUGUUUGGUAGGUUUUCAACUCUACUUCACAGCUCAUCACAGGCAACCACAUAUACUUCUCAUAUUGGUCUAAAAUUGGUGGUGACAAUAAGAUAAAAGAUGUAUUUUAGACAUUUUUUAGGGUGGAUCAGUCAGUUCGACCCAUUUGGUAUGAACUCAUGACAUUCAUAUCCCAUCUAGGCAAUAUGUCAUAUGCCGGAAAGGCAUUAAUUGUCUACAUCAACACAACUUUCAUUUGAAAAUUCUUCUUUAUGUAUAUGUCGUAAGUUUCUUCUUUGUAUAUAUGUAGUAAGUUUAAACUCCUUUACCCAUAAUAGUUUUACUUCAUCCAUUAGGCGAUUCACAUAAAGAUUUAACUGGGACUCUUCAAUGGCGAGAAAAACAUACUCAAAAAUUGCAGUCAUAUUACAUGCACAUACAAAGUGGGAGAUCACAUCCCACUGCAUUCGUCACAAUUUUUUGAUGGAUAUAGUUUCUUGUAACUUGUGGGACUAAGGAUCCACCAGAGUCUGACCAUGGGUAAAGAAUGGUACCCCGUGUACAUUUUUCUCAUAUUGUUGGUACCUUGGGUUGAAUGACAUGUUUACUAUCAAAAAUUUCAGACAAUGGCACAAGAGGGCUUUCUUUAGAUGUCUCCAUUUCUUAUUGACGAUUAGUGGGAUUGUCACUCUUUUUACUUUUCAGCCAAUAGAGAUUUAGGUGUUGCUCUCAACCCUAAUUGUGUGCUUGCUCGUACGGAUUGUACUGCAGGUAUGUAUCGUCUGAACAUACUGGAUUGACAAAAUUUUAUGUCUUUGUGUUGAGAACAAAUUCCAUUCUCCCAAAGGCAUGUCAUCAUCAUCACGGCAUAUUGAUCCUCUUGAAGAGACAUCCUUUGUUUAUCCUGUAUUUGGUAGGCCAUUAAUGUAAAUAUCAAUCUCAAUAGCAAAGCAUCUGCAUCAACUUCAUACCUUGUACUUGAAAAUUAGGUAGUCCAUGUAUUACUGCUAAGUGCAGGUCAUCUUCAUCAAGUUCAACAAGUUUAUGAUAUCCUUUCAUUAUAAAGCGUGAUAAGAUGGAGAAAUCCUCCAUGCAUGUCAUCUUCAUCAAUUUCGGAAUCUUUCAUCUCAUAUUGUUGUUGUGCUCUUGCUUCUUUUCGUUUCCUAAAACCAUAGAAACAAGUAAAUCAAUUGGAAAAAAAAAAUAUUCAAAAUUUAAAUCAAAGUCAGAAUUAAAAACAAAAACUAAAGUAGAUAAAUUGGUCCCCAAUAAAGACACUAAAAACUUAAUUGUAUGAUCCCCCAAGUGUACGGAUCGUGACAAGUAACAAUAAUGGUAGGGGAGGAGGCAGUGGGGAUGGAGAUGGGCUAUAGCCUAGCCCUACCCCCACCCCAUAUGGAAAAUUAAGAAUAAAUUGUGUAAUUUCGAUCUAAAUAUUUGUGUUAGUCCAACUCUAAUUUGAAUUCCAAUUUGAACCUAGCUCUACAAUUAUUAAAUACUAUUUUUCACAUUAUUUUAUUUUUGAAUUAGGCAUUUUAUUUAAUACAUGUUUGACUAAAUUUACUUAUAAUAAUUAAGUAAAUUUUAUAACAGAUAAUUUGUAUUGAUCGGAUCUAAAAAUUAAUUAUUUUAAUAAUUAGAGCCACUACAUCCUUGUACGGUGGAGAUUAAAAUUUGAAUUUGAAUUUAAAAUAAAAUUCAGCAACUAAUUUUAACCGCAUAUUUUAUGGAACCCACAAAUUUUUAACCACACUUUUCAAUUUAUUAAAAAUUUGAUUUUAAAAUUCAAAUUUUAAUUUUAACCGCAUAUUUUAUUGAACCACUACUUUUUAACCACACUUUUCAAUUUAUUAAAAAUUUAAUUUUAAUCCCCAUCAAACACAGGGGCUACAUGUUUUGCUAAGUUUUAAAAUAAUUAAUUUUUUUCUAUGUUCAUAUAUUACUUAUUCAUACUUAGAAGAAAAAAUACUUAUUUUAACAAUGAAAUAGAUAUUAUGAUCAAAAUAAAUAUCUUGAUAUAAAUUUGAUCUUGUUAGUAAAAAGAAUAUUUGUUAAAAUUUAUUUAUUUAUAAAUUAAUCUAUAUAUAAGUAUAUUCUUAAAAAUAAGCUGAACGUGGACAUGAAUUAAAUAUUUAAAUCUAAUUUCUUAGGACUCUCUUAGCUGAUUCUUCUCACUUUGAAUAUGAUUCUUUACUCACUAUGAAAUGAAAUGAAAUAGAAGAUUCUAUCCACACCAAAAUAGUAUUUUGAGAUAAUAACAUAUAUUGAUAUAUUAUUGACUGCGUGUUUAGACCAAAACUUUCAACGAUUUGAAAAAGGUUGAUCAUCAAAGUUAUUUAGAGUUGUGUUCAUUAAAAUAUUUUCUUAGCUUUUCAUUAGUGGAUAUGUAUUAUUUGCUUAUUUCGAUCAUGAUUAAGUCAAUUUAUAUUUUUUUAAUGUGAGCGUCAUUUUCUAUUUGGUAAGAAAAGAUAAAAAAGAUCUAACGGGACAUCUUAGAGUGAGAUAUCUCGAUUUCUUAUAUUUCAUUAAGUGUCGUGUACCCUUUGUCGUAAAUGUCAUAAGUUUAGCUUCUUGGGUUCAUUCAAAAUUUUUUAAAUUUCAGUCAAUUCUAACAUCAUUUUCUAACUCCGCCCCUGAAUAAUGGAUGACGAUAUCUUACCCACAAAGACUAAGUAUCCACUAUCAAUUUCUAUUUUAAUCCGGUCUUAGCCUAAAACAAUGUAAUUUUAUAAUUAAGUUAUCGUAAACUAUUCAAAAUUAAUCUAAUUUUUAUGAGGCUUUUAGAUUAAGUGGUUGAAAAUUUCGAUUUCACUUAGACCAUUUAACAUUCAUUCAAUCCAACAUCAUUCACAUGCCCAAGUUUUAUUUCAUCUCUAUGUAAAUUCACACAUAUAGAAGAAUUCAAUUGUUUGUGCCUGAUCACUUCAGGAGCAAGUUUGAUAAGAAACCAAUCAGGUGUAUAUUUGUGAGAUAUGACAACAUAAGGAAAUGGUCCAGAUACUACGACCCUACAAUCAACUGUGGGUACACGUCAAGCAACGUAAUAUUUGAUAAAGCAAGAUGUCGGGACCUUAUAACCAAUCAUUUUUACAUGUCAAGAACACAUGGCAUUUGAAGAAGCAUCUUUAUGGUGGACAUUGUAGAUGGUGGAGUUGCUAGAUUCAAAGGAAAUGGAUGACAAAUUAAAAAAGGAGAUCACUGAAGCACAACAAAGCCCUAAAUAAACGAAAAAUGCAUAAGAAUUAAUUGACAAUAAGGAGUCUAAUAUUGCAAUACAAAAUUCUUGGCAGAUGGGUAUAUAUCAGUCAACAUUAGAAGAGAUAAGGCUGAGUCAAUAAGAGGAGGUUUAGGAAGAAUUAAACCCCCAACCACAGUUGAUAAAAUUAACUAGAUAGAGAAAAACAAAUCCCAAGUAUGCUAAUAUAGCAAUAGAAGAAGAUGAUAGUAUCAAAGAGCCAAAGACCUUUAAAGAAACACACAAGAAAUGAAGAAGAGCAACGAAAGAAGAGGUCAUGGCUCUAAGGCAAAAUAAGACUUGAGAUUUGGUGCUAAGGCUUGAUAGAGUAAAGCCUAUAUCCUGCAAGUGGAUAUACAAAGUAAAGAAACGUCUUGACGGAUCAAGAAAGAUAUAAGACCGGACUAUUGUGGAUUAUUGCAACAAUAUGGAUUGGACUAUGAUGAAAAAUUUAAUCAAAUGGCAAAAAUUACUACAAUUCUAUGGCAGAUGGAUGUGAAAAAUGUGUUUCUUCAUGAGGGCUUGAUUGAGACAUAUACGUAGAGUAACCAAAUGGAUUCGAGAAAAAAGAAAAGCCAGGAUAUGUUUGCAAGUUAAAGAAUGCUCUCUAUAGGUUAAAGCAACCACCACAAGUAUGAUACAAUAAGAUAGCUGAAACUUGGUAGCACUAGCAGACUCAAGUCUAUUUAUUAAAGCACAAAAUAGAAAAUUAACAAUAGUGCUAGUAUAUGUGAAUAUCUUAUCAUCAUUCGAGAUGAAGAAGAUGAAAUUCAACAAACCAGAAAUAAUCUAUCGAUGAGAUUCCCAAUGGAAGAGUCUGGAGAGCUAAAUCAUAUUAUGAGACUCAAACAAAAGUUUAGGAUGACUGAUUACAAACCAAUAUGAACACUAAUUGAAAUUGGAUAAAUGCAAGGACUUGGAUAAAUGCAACCAUGUACAUGAAGCUAUUAGAAAGCUUGAUCUACUUAACGCUAACAUGACCUGACAUUGCAUAUGCAGUUGGAAUAGCUGCAUCAUGGAAAUGUUGAAGAAGCCACCUUGAAGUAGUACGACGGAUCUUAAUGCAUGUAAAAAGAACAAUUGAUUAUGGACUCUUUAACAAGAAAAAUGAAGAUUCCAAGGUAUUGACUACUAUGUGAAAGUCCAAGAAUAGCUAACGAAGAGAGGUGAAUUGUUUAUUAAAACUUUUUUGAGAAUUAAUUUUAAAUCUAAAACAGUAUGAUAGCAAAUGAAAUAAUUAGAUAAAUAAGCACAAAUGCAAAAGCAAUAAGUAAAAGGGGAGAGAAUGUCCAAACGAUGUAAAUUAGGUCCUUUUGAUUAAGUUGGGCUUUCACUGAAAAUUAGAAAUGGGAAAAUCAUAUUUUUAGGUUUGAACUAAAUUAAUUAGUUAGCAAAUUUAUUUAAAAAAUAAAAUAAUUUGACUUAUUUAAAAUAAAUAAAUUUAAAAAUUAGGAAGAUUCAGUUUUUCGACUCUUGAUUUAGAACCGAAUAUCAAACCAAACCUAUCGGAUCUCAAUUCAAAUACCUGUUCUAGUAUUUAAAUUAAGACGAAUUGCUCGAUUUGGUUCAGUUCAAGUUGGGUCCGGUUCGAUUCUGAAGUUUCGUUCGACCCUAAUCUUAAGUAAAAGUUUAUGUGACGGUGAGAUUUAUAGCCUGCUAAAAUUGAUCAAAAUUUAUAAAUUUUAUGUGAAUGUUGAGGGGAAAGAAUGCAAUUGGACAAAUAUCAGAUAGUUAUGAUUGAUCGUUGUUUGUGUAUAUGUCAAUUAUUUGAUAAAUAAGUUUAUGAUGUGCUCCAAAAAUUAAAUUAAAUUUGUAAUUUAUGUGACACAUCCCUAUUGUUUUAUUUACAGUCAGUAAUUGUUAUUAUUAUAUAACUUUCAAAAUAUUGAUUAUUAGAUUUGUUGAGCGGUGCUAAGCACCCGGCUAUGUGCAAUGGAAUCCAUACCUACAAUUUGUCAAAUGAUGCACACUUAUCCAUUCGAAGUAAUAUAGGUAAUAAAUCCCAAUACCACAUUUACAUGGGUAUUUAACGCCACUUAUACUGAAUGACACCCCAUAUACAUACACACACAUUUCCCCCAAUUUGGUAUAAAUUAAAAUUCUGAUUUAAUUUAAGUAAAAGUUAACAAUUAAUUUUAACCACUCAUUUUAUGAAACCCUCACAUUUUUUCAUUCACACAUUUUCAUCAACUUUUAUAAAGAUCUACAAAAAAUCUGAUUUUAAACCCCCACCACGGGGCAUAAUUAACACUCUCACACGCGACCAUCAACCUAAACAAUUAGAUUUUUGUCUAGUUGCUCUCUCUGUCUCUCCACACACACACACACAUACACACACACACACACUCUCUCUCUCUCUCUCUCUCUCUCUCUCUCUCUCUCUCUCUCUCUCUCUCUCUCUGUGUUUGAUGGUCAUUAUUGUGUUAAUGUGAUGUGGGCAGUGUGACGUAUGCUCAAAUUUGCACUAGACAGGAUAUAGCCUAUACAGUCAGUGUGCUUAGUGGGUUUCAGUCAAAUCCAGGACAAGAACAUUGAAAAGUAACUAAGAAAGUUAUGAGAUACUUGAUGAAAACUGAAGAUUAUAUACUUACAUUCUAGUGUUCAAAUCAUCUUGAGGUGGUAGGCUACUCAGAUUCUAAUUUUGCUGGAUGUCAAGAUGAUUUAAAAUCGACCUCAAAUUAUAUUUUCAUGUUAGCUGAUAGUGCUAUCUCUUAGAAAAGUGUUAAACAGACUCUAGUGGUAUCUUCUACUAUGCAAGCUGAAUUUGUGGCAUAGUAUGAGACUACAGUUCAAACCGUUUGGUUAAAAAAUUUCAUCUCUGGGUUGAAAAUUAUUGAUUUCAUCUCAAGACCAAUCACUAUCUAUUGUGAUAAUAGUGCAGCAGUAUUCUUUUCAAAGAAUAAUAAAAGUUCUGGUGGAUCAAAGCACAUUAAUAUAAAAUAUUUGGUGGCUAGAGACAGAGUCAAGAAAGGACAGACGAAUAUAGAACAUUAAUACAAAGACGAUGAUUGCGGAUCCUUUGACCAAGGCACUCUCUCCAAAAGUCUUUUAAACACACAUGUUGCUAAUAUAGGCAUUGUGAAAACAUUUGAUUUUUUGGUUAGUGGGAUAUAUAUAUAUAUAUAUAUAUAUAUAUAUANGGCUUGAUCCUUUUAUAGGAUAUGUAGGCAAUCUAUAAGUUUUUAGGUACAACCCCCUCUUCCAAAAUAAAAUAUAUUUUUUACAAUCCAUGAAUUAUUUUGAGCAUGCAUUUGAUUUAUAUAUUUUAUUAUAUUAUUGUAAUAUCGAAAUAUGAUAGAUAAAGAUAUAAGAUGAGUCUCUUUUGGAGACAUGUGGCUUCAUUUUGAUCUGAAGCAUUAUAAGGAUCGUUAUGAAUUAGCAAAGAUUUUUUUUUAAAUCACAUUUGAUGCUAAACUCAUAUCACAUACUAUCGCAUUGGUUGGAGGAUGGGGAUCCAUGUCGAUAAAAAUGUUGGUAUUGUAGCUUUGGAAUGGUCUUGCAUCGUUUAAUCUGUGUAAUGAUUUCCAUGUUCAGUGUUAAAAUUCUUGUUGGAUCGGAUCAUGUUGCGUAAGUUGUUUUCAAUAGAAUUAUACUUUUGUGGCCGCCUAUGUAGUCUAAUUCAGUUGUUAAAAGUUUUGUUAUAGUAAUCAAAUAUUUGCCCAAAUAGGAGAAUGGUGGAAUGUCUCUAAUAUGUGAUUCACAUUUGAGCAUUUAUUUUACAGGUUAGAUGUAUAACUCAUAAUAAUAUUUGUGAUUGGGCCAAAAUUUAUUAAGUAAUUAAUUGGGCAUUUUACAGUUUACGAGUUGUAUUUAAAAUGAUGUGGUAAUUUUAAAUAUGUGGACCGAAAAUAUAUAUAAGCCCUAAUUAGAGUUUAAGUCGUAAUGGGCCGGUUUGAUAAUUUCCUAUAUAAAAGCUAUGUUCCCUCUCUUUUCCAUAUUAUUUUUAAUAACUUGCCCCAUUGAUGACUAAUAUUUCGUGAGGAGUAAGGAGGUGAAAGCUGCUAUUAAUCAUAUCAAUAAUGGCUUCUACAUGUAUGAAUUCAAUUUAUCAAUUCAUUAUUUUGUGAUUCUUAGGAACACUUCAGCCUUUCUUCAAUUAUUGUCCCUUUCCCUCCAAUAAAUCCAUUAUUAGUUUAUUGGAAAGAAAGAAUGGAAACUAUGCUCCAUAUAAAUCUUGAGUGUUAUACGUAUUACCAAAAGUUUAAAGCUGCUUUUGUUUUUCAAGUUGUCUCAAAGUUAUCAGCAUUUGCAAAUACAGGAAAGAUAAAAGUUAAUAUAUUAAUUUGGUUGCUUGCUAUCGGUCAACUUAAACAAUAUUGACUCUAAUAGUCUUUUGAAAGUUAAAUGCCCAUAUCAUGCAAUUAGAAAACCAAUUAAAAUGAUUUAAAUGGGUUACGAUUUAAUAGAAAAUGUCGAAAACAUUAAUUAAAAAAUGAAAUCUAUUUUACAAAUUCCAAUACACUAUGUUCACUAACUACUAUUUUGGGUGCCAAAAUGCACUUUUAAAUGGAUUGUUUGCCAGUUUUUAUUUUUUCCGUAGUUCGGGAGAUUUAGCCCCUUAUUGUGGUUAUUUUUUUGAAAAACAUUGUCUUAAACAGUGUUUUUUUUGGAGAAUGUAUAGUUAAAAAGUGAAAAAAGUUUUGAUGUUAAGUGUAUAAUAUUUUAUUUAGUAGAUGUGAUUGAAAAUAAGUAUAUAUAUAUAUAAAAAAGACUUUUGAAAGAAUAGUAGACAAACUGGGACUUAAUUCAAUGAGAAGUUUAUUUUGUUGUAAAAAAAAAUGGCUACAAUCAUUUGACUAUGUGAAAUGUGACCUUUCACAAAGCCCUUGUUUGAACUCCAUCCUUAAAAAAAAAAAAAAAUACAUUUUAAACAGUAUUUUGACAUUAUUUCAACCAUACAUUAUUCAUUACAAUAAUGUUACACGAAAAAUCCAAUUUUUUAAAAAAAUUUUAACCACACAUUUUUCAUUGAUAUAUUAUUUAAAAAUUCAUUCUUGUUAGAAGAGUGGGCUUCAAACAAGGGCAAAAUGUAUUUGGAAGUCUAACGAGUCUCCGUGUGAAUUAAGUGUUUGUUUGGUACAGAUUUUAAGUCAAUUAAAAUUAAUUUUUUGAUUAUUAUUUUACUAUUCCAGUCGUUAUUUUUGAAUUCUUCUCUCACAAGUAGGAUCCAUUUUAUUUCUAACAAUUAAAAAAUUAAUUAUCAAAAUCCUUAUCAAACAAGCACUGAGCCUGCAACUUGCUACUUUUAAGAUAUAAGCGUUUCAUGGAUUUAACAUAAUAACAUGUGGUAGGUGGUAAAGAUGAAAAGGAUUAUAGAUUGACUUGGGUAGACCGAUAAAUGAGCCUAAAGUUGAGACCAAAUUCAUCCAAAGUUAAAUAAAAAUAUAAUUUCUCUCAUUUACAGUUUUUAGGAUUAUACAUCUACCAUAUAUAGGCGAAUUCGUGGUAACGAAGAAUUAAUUUAAGAAGAAAUGGCGGACGAAGCUGCCAAGGGACAGAGGGAGUAAUUUUUUUUUAAAAUAAUAUAAAAUAAAAUUUCUUAACUGUAAAAAAAAAAAAAAAUCAACCUAUAUAAAUGAAACGGGUCAAUGUUAAAAUGGAAGCAAAUAUCUUUAUGGGACAUAGAGCAUACAAAUUAUAUUUUUUCUUAUUCCUUUUUAAUUAAAAAAGAAAGGGAAUAUGGAUUGACUUGUUUAGACCUAGUCUCUGUUUGGUAGGUGGUAAUUUACAUAACAAGACAUCAUAAUAUAGAAAUUUUCUAUUUUAGUCCUUAAAAUUAAAUAAUGGUUGAAAUUUGAUAAUUUUUAUUUGAUUUAUUUGAUUAAUAUUUUUAUUAUUUGAUUUAUUUGAUUUUUGUUUGCUCUAAGUAGCCCCCUAAUUGGUAUUAGAGUCAUUAGUAAUGGCAAAAAAAUUCGCCCCGCUCCGCCUCGAAUGGGGCAAAAAGACCCGCCCCGAUGGGUUGGCUUGGCUUGGCUUGGCUUGGCGGGGCGGGGGAAAUAUUUAUUUAUUUUUUUUUUUACAUUUUUAAAAUUUCAAGUUAUAUUAUUAUUAGUUAAUAAAAUACUAAUGUAAAAUUUUAAUUAAUUACAAAAGAAAUAAAAUUUAGUCAAAACGUAAUUUUAUUUGAAAUUGUUUAAUUUUUAACAUUGUUUAUUUCAAGUGUUUACUUUGAAUUUUAAAAUUUUGAAUUUAUAUUUUAUUCUCUAAUAAUAACAUAAUUUGAAAUUAAAAAAAAUUAAAUGGGGCAACAAAUGGGACAUGGCGAGUGAGGCGGGGUGGGGCGUGGGUGAGGCGUCCCCGAACCCACCCCACUGCCAUCCCUAAGAGCCAUAGAGAUCAUGAAAAAACCUAUAAAAAUAGAUUACUUAAAGAAAUAAAAAUCUCUAGAUUAAUACUAAAAUUUUGCAAAUAAAUAAAAGUUUAACUAUUAGAAAGUUAAAGGAAUAUUUAGAUUAUACAUCUUAAUCAAAUAUUUAUAUACAAACAUAAAGAUUAUGGAAAUUAAAAUAAGAAAAAUAGAUCAUUAUUGGUAUUUAGAAGAAGAAAAAGAUAGCUAUAUAUUUUUAGAACCUAUUCAUAAUAGAUUAAAAAUAAUGACUUUAACAAUAAUUAAAGAACUUCCUAAAGAAAUAAAGGAACAAAUAUUCGAUAAAUUAAUAAUAGAAAAAAUAAAAGAUAUAUAUACAUACGAAAAAAUUAUUAAUAUAUAUGAAGAUGAAGAAAAUAAUUUAUAUUAUAAAGAAAAAUAUGAGUACAAGUAAUAAUACACAUUUGAAAUUAAAUAAACUACUUAUAAAAAUGGAUAAAAUACAAGAAGAAAUACGAAAUAUAAUGUUAAUACCAGAAGAAAUGAGAAUAUCAAAUAAUAGACAAUUAUUAAAAUUAAAAUGUGAAAGAUUAAGACUUGGGAGCAAAUAUUUUACUAUAGUAAAAGAAGAAUUAGUAGAUCCAGAUAUAGAUGAAAGAAAAUUUGGAAAAACAAUAGAUAAAAAGGAAGAUAAAAAAUGCAAAUUAACCGACGAGUUAGAAAUAAGAAAAAAUUAAGAUAUCAAUAAGUGAAUAUAUGGAAGUAUUAAAAUUAUUAAUAAAAAUGUUAAUAAAUGAUAUACAAGAUUUGAGAAAUGAAGUAAAAGAAACAAGAAACGAUAUAAAUAUAUUAAAAAUUGAGAUUAGAGAAUUAAAAGAAAAUAACAAAAAGAAAGAUAAGAAAAUAGAUAAAAAAAAACUUAUAGAAAAAGAGAUGACUCGAAUAGGAAAGAAACAUAUAGAAAAAGAGAAUAUAGUAAUAGAAACAGGAAGUAUCGAUGAUGAAUUUAGAAAAAAUAUAUUAUCAAAAAUAUUAGAAUAGGAAGAAAAAUCACUAGGAAAAUUAAAAAUAGAAGAAAAAGAAAAUAAAAAUGAAUGAAGAAUUAGAUUUGUUAAUAUAAAAUUUCAAUCAACUAAAUCUAACUGAUAUAAGUGAAUACCAAGUUUUAAUGAAUAUUGGAGGAGGACCUAAUCCAGGAGGAACCUCUAAACAGGAAUUACAUAAUACAGAUGAAAGUUAUGCACCUAUAUAUAAUAAAUCAUAUAGACAAUUCUAUAAUAAAGUAAGAGAUAGACAAUCACCUAGAUUUGAACUAAAUGAUAAUUAUGAUAAACCAAUUAAUCAUGAAGGAACAAAACUAGAUUUAAAUUAUAAAAUAGCUACUAAAAAAACCUUAUUAACUUGGGCAGAUUCAAUGAUAUUAUUCUUUUUAUAUAACAAAGAUGACACGUGGGAAAAUAUUGAAAGAAGAAUAUAUUUCUUAAUAGCAUCAUUUGAAGGAGAUGUUAGAAAUUGGUGGGAAGGAAUAAGUAAUGAUACAAAAAUAUUAAUAAAAAGAAAUGUACAAAUACGAAUAAUAAAAGCAGAUAGACAAGGUAUAGAAAAAUUAGUAGAAUAUAUUUCAGAUGAAUUUUUAGAAGAAAAUUGGAUAAGAAAUGCUGAAGAAGAAUCAAUAAGAGAAAAAGAUAAAGUUAAAAUAAAAUUAAUAAAUUUAACAAUAUGUGAUAUGUGUAAAAUUAAAGAAUAUACUUGUGAAUUUAAGAAUUACUAUUAUAUUCAAUUUUAUAGUAAUGAAAAUCAAGAAGUAUACCAAGACAUGUAUUAUAAUGAGUUCUCAGGUUCAUGGUGAAUAUAUUUUAAAAUAGAAUUUAAAAAAUAUGUUAGAGAUAAUACUCAAAUAUCUAGGACUUUAGAUUCAAGAAUAAAUUUUUUAUUUGAAAGACUUGUAUAUAUAUGUCAACGGAGACAAUUAAUGAAAAAAAUCAGGAAAAUUAACUAAAAUAUGUUGUGAAGAUAUGGAAACGCCUGUGCAAUGAGAAUGUAAUCCUGAAAGAAGAAUUAAUAAAAGAAAAUAUAAAAAUAAAAAGUUUAAAAAAUUUAGAAAUUUUAAUAAAAAAUGUAUAAAAUCUAGAAUAAGAUAUUAUAAAAGAAAAAAUAACCCAUAUAAUCAACAGAAGAAUAAAAAGAAAAAUAUAAGUGAAUGUAAGUGUAAAUGUUGGAAUUGUGGAAAAAUAAAUCAUAUAAGUCCUGAUUGUGAUAAAAAGAAAGUUAGAAUAUUACAAAAAGAAAACUUAGAAAUAAAAGAUGAAUUAAGUGAAAUAUCAGAUAUUGAAGAAUAUUAUAAUAAAAAAAUACAUAUAAGUGAAACGGAAGAGAAUGAAUCAGGAUCUAAAUAAAGAUAUUGAAGAAAUAGAAAGUAAUAAUAUAAAUAUACAAGAAUAUGAAAAAAUAGAAGGAUAUAGAUUAAAAGUCACUUUUGAUAAUAAUAAGUUUAGAAAAUUGUAAAAAUUAUCCUUAGAUUUAAAAAUAGGAAAAUGGGAAGUCUUUGAUAGAAUUUGAAAAAGAGAAAGAAUAGUAAUAAAUGAAUAUCACAUAAUAGAAAAAAUCAUAGAUAUAAGGACAACUUAUAGGCAACAUAAAUUAAAUCUUUUAACAAAAAAUACAGUUGAUGAAUUAUUAACAAAGAUUAGCAAAAAAUAGAGUGAAAAAAUCCAAAAAUUUUAUUUAGCAGAAAUAUAAAUAAUGUUUAAAUCAUUAUUUAGAGAAGGGAAAGACUCACCCUUAACUAUAACUUUAGAUGAUGAAAAAAUAAUAAAUUUAAAAGACAGUCAUUUAGAAACAAUAGAAGGAAAUUUGACAUAUCAAAAAAUUAUGUUUACAUGUUAUUCAAAAUAUUGUGUAUCAUUGAAAGAUAGAAACUUUAAUGAAGUUUUAGGACUACAUUUCAAACUUCGUAGAGAUGAUAUUAUGCAACCAGGUGACCAAAUUAUGACUAUAGUAUAUAGAAUUUUAUACACAUUUACCAAUUCUAAUUAUAUAAAUAUCUAUUCCAAUAAACCAUAUAUUGAAGUACAUAAAGAAUGUAAAGAUAUUGGUAAAAUAAUAUAACCAAAUAAAUAAAUAAGUUUAAUUCUAGAAGAAUAUGAAUUUAGUAUAGCAAAAAAUAAACCUGAAAUAACAGAAUUAAAUGAAGGAGAAUAUUCUAAUAACAUAAUAUUUAAGAAUGGAAAAUUAAUUAAAAGAUCAAAAAGCUUUAAAAUACCUAAUAAAAACUAGUUAGAAGAAAUCAAUAAAAUAAAAGAAAUAAAAUUAUAUAGAAAUGUUGGAAAUAUGAAAAUAGAAGGAGAAUAUUAUAAUGGAAGAGAACAUAUAAAUGGACCAAAUAUAUUAAUAGAUUCAAGAGCUAGUGAAUGUCAUAUACCUUCAAUUAGAAAUAAAGGAUUAGUAACUCAUAAAACUGAGCCAUAUAAAUAUGUAAAUUUUGAUGGACAGGAACAUAUUACAGAUUUGGAAGUUGAGGUACCAAUAAAAAUAUGAGGAAUAGAUCUUUUAGUACCAUUUUACAUAGAUAGAAGUAUAGAUAUAAACCCUCAUAUACUUUUAGAAAUGAGUUGCAUAAAUGGAUUAGAAAAUUAUAGUAUAAAAAGAAAAUUAUUAUAUAUUGUUCAUAAUGGGCAAACUACACUAUGUAAAAAGAAUUAGAUGAAUAAUCAGAUAAGUUUUUCAUUAGCUGUAUAUAUACAAAUAUUCUAGAAACAAAUAUAACAACUUGUGCGUUAAUAGAUACAAGAAGUGAUAUAACAAUAUUUAAAAGUUUUUUAAUAAAAUCAUGGGAUAAAAAUAGUAACAUAAAAAUAACUGGAGUCACAGAAGAAAGUACUCGAUAAUUAAUAGUUUUGAUAAAGUAAAUAUAAUUUUUGGAAGUAAACAAGUUACAAUAAAUAAAGUAUAUAACUAUGAUAAACUAGAAUGUGAUAUAUUAUUAGAAAAUUGUUUUAUACAACAAAUUUCAAUAUUAUAAGCAAAAUAAUUAUAUGAUAAUGCUACAAACAUCUUGUGGACACUUAUUAAAGAUUUCUAGAGAAUUUAAAACUUAUAGAGUUCAAUCAGUUCAGCGUGAUGAUAAAUGAGAGAAAAAAUCAAUCAUAAAUAAUGAAAUAAAAAAUAAAAGAAUAAUAUGUAAAAAAGUUCUAAAAACAGAAAUAGAAAUGAAUAUAGAAAAAAUCAUUAAACAACUAGAAAAAAUUUAUGGAGAAAAUCUAUUAUUAUUUUGGAAACCACAUCACCCAAAGGCUAAAGUAAAAUUAACAGAAAAUGUUAUAAUAAGAGUCAGGCCAAUGAUGUAUACUAUAGAAGAUACACAAGAGUUUAAAAAUCAGAUAAAAGAAUUGUUAGAAUAAAAACUUAUUAGACCUAGUAAUAAACCUUAUAGUAGUUCAGCCUUUAUGGUUAUGAAACAUUCUGAACAAGUUAGAAAAAAAGCUAGGAUAGUCAUAAAUUAUAAAGAAUUAAAUAAAUAUACUAAAUUUGAUUGUUACUUUCUACCAAAUAAAGAAGUGUUAAUAAAUCUUGCAAGAGGAAAACAAUAUUAUUCUAAAUUUGAUUGUAAAUCAGGAUUUUGGUAAGUAAAAAUGGAAGAAUAUUUAGCACACCUCAAGAAAAAUAUGAAUGGUUAGUUAUGUCAUUUGAUUUGAAAAACGUACCACAAAUAUAUCAAAAAAGAUGGAUAAUAUAUUUAAAAAGUUUAAUGAAUUUCUAAUAGUUUAUAUUGAUGAUAUAUUAAUAUGUUCUAAUAGUAAAGAAGAGCAUAGAAAUCAUUUAAUUCAAUUUAUUAACGAAUGUAAAAAAGAAGGAAUUGUACUAUCUAAAAAAAAGUUCUAUAAUAGAAAAACAAAAGAUAAACUUUCUUGAAUUAUCCAUAGAUAAAAGAUGGAUAAAAUUACAAACUCAUAUAUCCAAAAAGAUAGAAAGUUUUCCAGAUAAAUUAGAAUCCAAAGAACAAAUUCAAAAAUUUUUAGGAUGUUUAAAUUAUUUAGAAGGAUUUAUUGAAAAUCUUUUUAAAAAAAGAUAUAAAAUUCAAGUUUUAUUUAGAAAAAUAAAUAUUAAGGGAUGGAAUGAAAAACAUACAGAAAUAGUUAAAUCAUUAAAAGAAGAAUGCAAAAAUUUAUCAAAAUUAAGAUUAUCAGAUAAAAAAGAUAAUUUGAUUGUUAAUACUGAUGCCUCAGAUAAAUAUUGGACAGUAAUAUUAAAAAUAGAUCUUAAUGAAAUUCGUAGAUAUUCAAGUGGAACCUUUAACCAAGCAGAAAUAAAUUAUACUACUCAUGAAAAAGAAUUACUAACAAUUAUUAGAUGAAUAAAAAAGUUCUCAUUGUUUUUAUUAUCCAAGAAAUUUAUUGUUGAAACUGAUAAUUUUUAAGUUGCAGGAUUAGUCAGGAAUCAGUUACCCUCAGAACCUCAAUACAGAAGGCUUCAUAGAUGGCAAGCUUAUUUAGCAUUUUAUAAAUUUGAUAUAGUCCAUAUUAAAGGAGUUAAUAAUUUUCUUACAGAUUUUCUCAGCAAAAACAUAGAAUUUGCUGAUGGAUAAAAUCAAGGUCAUGGAAUUAUACCAAUCUAUCAUACACAUACAAAAAAAGGAUGGAUGUACUUAAAGAAGAAUCCGAUGAUAUAAAAUCUGGAACAACCCAGGUUUCAGAAAUGUUCAACUCAAAUAUAAAAAUACUGUUGAAUAUCACUACUGAGCAUAAAAAAUAUGCUAUAGAACUCAAAAAUCAAGUUGAUGCUAUUGCAGCACAACAAAAAUCUAUACCGUCUGAAACAGAUAUACCAAAGAGCUCAAAAAUGAGUUUUCCAAAUCAAUACCAAACAGGGACAACUGGAAGCAGCAGGGACCCAAACGUGACAACAUACCAACUGAUAAUAAAGGAGAUUCCAUUUCUGUAUCGUCAAUUAAGAAAGUUAUGAUACAUGGAGAUAAAAGAGAUACCAAAACAAUUAAUAUCAUAGACCAAGAAGAUAAAAUCCCUUUAAAUCCAAACGAAGAAAAAUAUGUUGACAUAGUCAAAAUCGCUUAUAAAAUAAAAAUAAGUGAUUCAUAUUUCAUUUCUCUGAGAAAUAAUGUUUAUCCCUGAAUAACAGCCAUGUAAGGAGGUGACCCUUCAUUUAUAAAAAUUAUGACAGACUGUGGAUUCAUGGAUUUGAUUUAUCCAAGAAUUUUUUUUUAUUGAAAUUUCAAAGUUUGAUGACAUAUUCAUUAAGGAAGUAUCCAGAUUUGCCAAGGGAAGGAAGAUAUUUUUAAAAUUCUAUUCAAUUAGUCCAUAGUAUGAUGGAGUUGUUUACUAUCCAAUUGAACACAUAAUCUCAAUUGGAUAUGUUGCAGCCAAUUUUCAAAUUGAUGUUACAGAGAAUAAUAGGAAAGUCCCAACAGAGACAAAAUCAUGGAUUAGACAUAGAAAAACACUUGAAAUUAAAGCCAUUUACAACAUUGUCAAAAAAUUGUUUGAUAAAAAAUUCUCGUGCUUGUGCCAAUAUGAAAAAUGGAUGCUGGUAUCCAAUGGAGGAUAUGCAAAAUCAGAAAUUUUAAAAGACUAUAUUAUAAGAUUUGAUAUACAUAAAUUUUCAGAAUGUCUUACCUCUAUAAAAGAAUCCUGCCAGCUAAGAAAGUGCCCCAACUGCAUGUGAAGAAAUGAAAGAAGAAGACAAAGCACCUUUUGACAAAGGUGUAUGAAGGACAAUAAUACUACAUGUGAAGACAUUGAAGAUAAAGAGCAAUAAUAGAAAAAUAUGCUCUUUGGAUAUAAAAGUUGAACCAACAUGUGAAGAUGUAGGCCCAAGGAAGAAAAUAGAGAGACAAAAGUGCCUUUACUGAUGUAAUCAAUGAUGCAAUAGAGUCUCAUAAACUUGUAUAAAUAAAGACAUUACCAUAGAAGAAUAUCAUCUCAUCCUAUCUUGAAAUCUCUAGUUGUAAGCAAUAGCCCAUUCUCAGUUUGAAAAACCAGUUUUUCUGAAAAUCCCUUUGUAUCAAAUAGAAGUCUUGUAUAAAUUUUGAUAGAAAUAAAAUUCCAAUAUUUUUAUAUCAAUAUGAGUUUCUAAAUCUUUUUCCCAUAAAUUUUUGAAGGAUUUAAUAAAAAGUUUUCUUCUUAAUUUAGCAAAAAGAGAGUUUUUUGUUUUAACAGAAGUCUAGAAUUUUAUUCUUUAAAAGUUGAUACAUUGAGAGCAAGUAGCUGAAAUAGUAACAAUUUCGUGAAGGCUGGAAGCCGUUGAAGGAAGCAAUUUACAAAUUUAGAGCUCGAAGGUCAAUCGGUUCUAAAAAUACAGGUUUAGAUCAAACGUAAGGUAAAACUAUUAAACUUUUGCUAAAAUUAGAAUGAAUCUUUUUAAGAGCUUAAAAGAAUCACGGGGACAAUUGCAUGAUGAUUAUUUUGAUAAAUUCCAGGAUAUACAAUUGAAGGAUUAAAUAAUUUAUUAAAAAGAAAUAAAGAAUAUUAUAUCUCAAUUAAAAAAUAUAAAUUUACUAUUUGAAGAAUAUGAUAUUUUACUUAGAAAAUAUGAUAUGUAUGUUGCAGAUUAUUCCUAUUUAUUAGAUCAUAGAAUGAUUUUAUAUUCGAUUAUUCAAAAUAGAGUAAAUAGAAGAUAAAAUGAUUAAAAGAUUAGAACAUAUGUUACAAUAUAAAAAGAAUUAUUUCAUUAAAAAUAAUAUAGACCUUUCCAUAAAAAAGAAUAGGGAUAUGCCGAAUAGAAAAAUCUCCCAAUUCAUCCAAAGUUACAUAAAAAAGGAAAAAGAAAAAAAAAAAAUUCUCCCAGUUUCGGUUUUCAUGAUUAUACAUCUACCAUAUAUAGCCGAAAUAAUGGCACCGAAGAAUUAAUUUAAGAAGAAAUGGAGUACGAAACUGCGGUGGGAUUUCUGCUAGAAAACUUAAAGCAGCUACUUCUUUACAAUGCACAUCUGAUUGAUGUGAAGAGCGAUGUCGAAUCUCUGCAAAACGAACUGCAAUUGCUCAAAGCCUUUCUCAAAGAUAUGGCAAAAUGGGACAACAACCCUGAAGUCCUAAAUACAAUCGUGAAGCAAAUCAGAGAUAUUGUGUACGAAGCAGAAGACUAUGUGGACGUGUAUGUUGCUCAUUCAGCUAUGCAGAAGGCUCGAAAUGGCUUAAAGAAAGUUAUCCAUAUAUUCGAUCAUACGACGAAGCUUCGAGAUAUGGCAGAGAAGAUUAAGUCUAUAAGGGCCAUGGUCAACGAUACAUAUCAGAACAAGAAAUUUGGGUUUGAAGCCCUGCUAGUUGCUGCUCCUCUCGUCGAAAAGAAAGAGGUAAAUUGCCAUUACUCUGGUUAGUGAUUUUAAAUCUUUGUUAAUUGAUUAUGUUUACAAUUUAUCAGUUCCGAGCAUUUUUGGCUUAGCAUAAUAAAAACUUGUUAAUUUGCUUAGAAAUAAAAUUUAAUUCUGGGCAUCUCGAGUGAAUCUUGAUAUUAGAAAUUAGGGGAGUAUUUUUUGAACAAAGAAACGCAAGAUCUGAUGAAUUCGAUAAGAACAAAAAAUUAAGUUGACCAUACCUCCUUUGUUAUUUCAGGAAUUAAUUCAUUUUAACACUAAUUAGAGACGGUUUGACGCACUUCACUACUUGUAGAAAAUUUUAUAAGCAAAUUACUUUAGAACAACUUUCUCCAAACAAGCAAUUUGAGAAAACGUGUUUCACAGUAGCUUCUUUAUAAUCUUUUCAAAAGCCUACUCUCUACAUAAUUCAUUAUAAUAGACGUGUCAUUAAAAUAUAUGAUUAAUAAAUUAUGUUUAUAGUUCUGUUUGACAUCCUUUACUUAAUUUAGUUUGUUUCUCGUAUUCAUUUUUAACCACACAUGAGUAAUGUUUGGUGUACAGAAAUAUUCUUACAGAAAAUUUACGAAUAUCUCACAAAGUGUGGACCUUGCAUGAAUAAAUAAUGUCAAAAUACUCACCCACCCACCCUGCCCAUUUGAGGUAUCUGUAGGGGUUCCGUGAAUUGAUUAAAUUGCGUUUGGCUGAGCCACAUUUCUUCCCCUCUUCUUCUCCCCCCCCCCCUCCCCCCUUCUUAUCUUCUCCUCCCUUCUCCUUCUCCUUCUUCUUUCUUUCUUAUUCAUCCUACAUCAAAUUGGUAUCAGAGUUAAACCUGGUUCCAACUUCUACAAUUGAACACAUUAACUGGAGUUCUAAGUUUUGGAUUUCGCCUUAUAACUGAAGCCCUACACAAACCCAGCCGCCAUCUUCGUCUAUUACAUAUAACACAACCACCACCGUCAACCUACUGCUGCAACACCCGUUCACCAUCUCUGCCUUUAUCAAUCAUCUAUUACACUCAACAAGAUACCCAUACAAACCCGGCAAAACUACAAAUCAGCACCGCCAGCUACGGUAAAUUCACCAACACCACCCUUCAUAAUACACACGGCCAUCUAUCUACUACAUACACGCAACUCCCAAUUCACUCCAUAUACCCAUCAAAACGUACUACUUACAGCGACCAGAAACGGAGCCAUCGCCUAUCCGAACUGGCCCCGUUGCGACAAUCCGGAGUACCCACCUCGCGGCCGCCGCUCCACUCGUGACCGCCAGGGACGCCGACCAUCGAUUUCCCCUUCCCAGAUUGCUAUUCUACUUGCCGACCGCCGUGUCUUCACUGGUGCCAUCGCCGUUUGAUUUUCAGGCCUUUUCAAUUGGGCCGUGGUUAGUAGUUAGGUUUUGAUAUUCUAUGGCAGGAAAAAAAAAAAAAAAAAAAAGAGGAAAAAAAAAAAAAAGAAAGAGAGAAGAAAAGAAAAGAGUAAAAAAAAAAAAAAAAAAAAAGGAAGUGAAAAAAAAAAUGAAGUGAAAAGAAAACGUAUUUUCUAUUAUUUGUAGGUACUUCUUUUUUAUUCCUGUUGAUUUGACACGGCUACUUCAAUGGACGAAAGGGAAGUUACUAUUUUUAUUUAUCUUUGGUUUAUAUUACUGUUUCGUUUUAAAAUUGCAUCAAUAUUUUCUGUGUGCUGCUGUUAUUCCAGUUUUUACUACCUAAACUCACGUAAUUGGAUCCAUUAACCUCAUUAAAUCUCAUUUUAACCUGCUUAUUUUACGUGAUUAGGUUUUUUGACUAGUAUUUGACCAUUACUUUAUUAUUUUACAUAAACCAGCAGUACUAGCUUGUUGUAUAUAAUUUUAAUCUCAAAAUUUAUUUAUUAAAAAAAAAGAUAAAAGAAAUAGCUCAAAUUUUCAUUUUCCAUUACUUGCAUUUUUUGUUCUUUGAUUUCUCUAUUGCAUGUCAUUAAGUUGCUAUUACAGUGCAUGUAGUUACAUAUUGGUCAUCUUGUCACUUCUAGCUCCAGUACCUUAAACAUGAACCCCUCACAAUUCGAUGCACUCACCCGACAAAUAGCGGCUAUUCAAACUCAAAUGACCGCUACUCUUGAAGAGAGUAAGGCCCUAUCUGUCAGUUUGAAAAAUUUUAAACACAUUCCUCGUUCAAUUGAUGUUGAUAAUUCUAAGGUGUCUCAUAAUAGACAACAUCGUCGACAAGGUAAUCAAAAAUACUUUCGACUCGAUCGUAAGGAUAGGGAUAGGAAUAGGGAUCAGAUUCAUGAGCGAGAACGAGAUAAUUUUGAAAUUCUUACUCAAUGGAAUGUUCUUAAACAAGGAAAUCAAUUAGUGACUGAGUAUAUCGCGCAAUUUGAGGAAUUUCGAACCAAAUGUCAUUUGAUUGAGGAUGAGAGCACGACUUUGAGUAAGUUUAGCCAAGGUCUGAGAGAUGAUCUUAAGCGCGAGCUUUUCCUUCGAGGUGUCACUACUCUUGAUCAUGCUUACUCUUUAGCUCGAGAUUAUGAGUUGAUUACUAGUACUCCAUAUGAAAAGCAUGGUCAUCGUCGUUCACCCAUCUCAUUUGCGUCGCCUCAUCAUAAGUCUAUCAUAAAACCUUCUCCGUCUAAUGUUCCUCCUAUUUGGAAAAAUAAUUGUAAAGGUCGUGAUAGUCCAAGAUCUUCUUCUUCAUGUAGAAAGAAUAUUGACAAUCAUCCUUCGGUGUCAUUGGCUCCACUUCCUCCCGUUAAGUCCUUUCUAGGACUUCCCCCAUCUGAUGUUCCUCCAAUUUUGAAAAAUAAGGGUAAAAUUUUUCAUAAUCAUCAUUUGGUUUCAUUGGCUCCAUCUUCUCCCGUUAAGUCCCUUCUAGGACCUCCCCCUUCUAAUGGUUCUCCAAUCUUGAAAAAUUAGGGUAGAAUUUCUAAAACUCCAAGGUCUUCUUCUCACUUGUUGUGCGUCAACUGUAAAGACUUUGGUCACAUUUCUUCUAAAUGUCCUAAUCGAACCUUAGUCAUGGAAGAAUGAAAGAAUGUAAUAGAGGAGCCGUUAGAAGAUCUAGUCUAUGAACCUAAACUUGAAGAUUUUGAUGACUUGGAUGAUAGUGGGGACACUUAGGUGGAAUCCGGACUCUUCCCGAGACUUGGGAUACUAUACCCCUUAUCUCCGACAAUUCUCGAUCACAUGUUAUAUGUCGUACCCUUACCCAAGUUAAAGAGCUUGAUGAUGUCACCAGUCACCCUUGGAAAAUCCAGUCGCAUGUGGUUAACACUAAGGCAAAAUUAUCUACCAUUGACCAACCUCAAAUUGAUGGUCAAAACAAGAGUGCUAACCAAAAUCCUGACAAUUUAUUACAGUAUCCAGUCCAGAAAAAUCUUGGGAAUUGGGACUUGAUCCUUCCAACUGUUCAAAUUGCAUAUAACAAUCCUGUGAACUGGUCUUUAGGUCUAAAACCCUUUGAAGUUAUUCUUAGUUGUGAACCUUUGAAACCUCUAAACCUUAUUCCCAUGCAUCCACAUGCUUGUGUGUCUAUGUCAAUUGAGGUAGUUGUAUCACAUUUUCAUAGCUUGCAUAUUGAGAUCAAUAAACAAUUUGAAGCAAGUAAAGCAUUAUAUAAACCUCAAGUUGAUUGACAUAAACAACACUUUGAAUUUAAUAUUGGGGAUUAUGUUAUAUUGCAAGCGUGUAAUGCGGGUCUUUUUAAAAUUUCAAAGCAUGUUGGUCAAAAUGCCUAUGUCAAUGAUCUUUUAUCACAUUAUGACCAUCACCCUAUUUUAUUUGUUAACGACUUCGAUACUUACAAUGGCUAUUUUAACACUUUUGUUGAUACUUUUCUAUCUCUACCUGAGAACUCCCAUAUCGAAUCUUUUGCUAUGUCUAUUCGAAUGCCACCAGUCGCAGCACACAAAGAUAAAAUUGAUGUAAUUUUAGAUGAACAGGUUGUGUUAAUCAUUGAUGGAGAGAAUCGGUGCUUCUUUAAUUGUUGGGUAGAUCAACGUUCUUAUUGUGCUCCACUUUAUGCGCAAUCAUGUGAAGAUUUUGGAGAUGAGUUGUAGGAGUACUUGUUAUUUGGAGUCCAAUGUCGGUACUUAAUUAAAAUGAGGGAUCAUCCGCCUUGGUCGGAUCAUAUUCUUGAGGACAAGUUGCCAUUUGUAUUGUUAUCAACCGUGGAGUUCUGAUAUUUGGUUCUUCAAAAAGAUCGUCCACCGUGGUAUGAGUUCAGACAUUGAAGAUUGACGGUAGCUCAUCGUCAUUUGUUCACUCGACAGAGUCGAGUUUUUCUUCCACCCCGGGAGAAUUGAUGCGGACAUCACUUAUAUUAUUAUCGCACUAUUUUACUUUUCUAGUUAUUGGGCUUGUAUUAUUGGUUUGGCCCAAACCUAUUAUUGGUAGGGUUAUGCUUUUACUAUUUAUAUGGUUUUCAGUUGUAAUUUCAUUAGAUGAUGAAUUGAUUAAAUUGCGUUUGGUUGAGCCACGUUUCUUCCCCUCUUCUUCUUCCCCCCUCGGUUCCCCUUCUUCUCUUCUCCUCCCUUUUCCUUCUUCUUUCUUUCUUAUUCAUCCUACAUCACACAGCCUAAUCAAGGUACUUAUUCACCUUCCAACCCUGACUUCGAAAUGUGUCGUCGCCCUUUUCCAUCAAUUCCAGAAUUUCGAAUUAUCUCUCUUCAAAACCAAUCGGUCCACAUGUUCGGUCUUUUUUGUGUUUCGCCCAUGAAGAAAUAACCUUGCAAAAUGAGCAAAAUUCUUCCAUCCCUGGUGCAUUUAAAUUGCUCAGGGUGUUAGACAGUAAACCCAUCCAUUUCACUCGUUUUCCUCCUGACCUAACUCUACUUGUUCAUUUGAGGUAUCUUGUUCUGUCGUGGGACUUCAAAAUACUUCCAGCAGCCCUUUCCAGCCUUUGGAACAUACAAACUCUUGUAAUUGAGACAUCAUCAUGCACCCUUGAAAUCAUAGCAGAUGUAUGGAAUGUGAUUCAAAUGAGGCAUCUAAAAACAAACGCAUCCACAACAUUGAAAGGCCCUCUUGCUAAAUCAAGAAAAAGUGAAGAAGCAUCUUCGAACUUCAAAACACUUCCUGCAAUAUCACCUGAAAGUUGUACAGAAGAUGUCGUUUCUGCAGCUCCAAACCUAAGAGAAUUGGGUAUUCAGGGCAAUUUAGCUAAACUAUUUGAUACCAAGGGUACUGGAUCUAGUUUGUUUGACAAUCUGGGAAAAUUGGUUUACCUUGAAAAUUUGAAGCUAUGGAAUGAUGCAUUUCCUCCUGAAGGAAAAAUAUAUAGCCUUCCCCAAAGCUACAAAUUCCCAUUGAAGCUAAAGAAGCUAACAAUAGUAAGCACCAGGAUCGUUUGGUGGCAUAUUUCUACUUUGGGACUGUUGGAAGGCCUUGAGAUCCUGAAGUUGAAAGAAAAUGCAUUCAGAGGGGACCGUUGGAAGUCCCAGGAUGGAGGUUUCCGUUCUCUGAUAGUCUUGUAUAUUGGAAGGACAGAUUUAGUUUUGUGGGAGGCUUCUGCUCUUCAUUUCCCACGACUCAAGUGCCUCCGUCUUAAUUACUGCAGCAAGCUUCAUGAAGUCCCAUUCGAACUGGCCAAUGUUCCAAGCUUCCAGAUAUUGGACUUGAACUGUACCAGCAGAUCAGCAGCUAAAUCUGCCAAGAAAAUUUCGGAGCAUUAAAAGCAAAUUGGUGGUAGUGGAUUUAAGCUUUCGAUUUACCCUUCAGAUCAUGAUCAAUGAUCUCCAUUUGUUCAAAGCUCAUAAAUGCUACUUCACAGGUAAUAUAUUUUAAAUUUUGUUCUCUUCAGUUGAUAUAUCUAUUCCUGCUUAAAACGUAAGAAACAUAUAUUUCAUGGGAUGAUCCUGGUUAGAAUUAUUCUUCCUAAAUAUUAGCACCAAGAAAGGACUGUUUUUUCCCCUGUGCCCUGUCUAUUUCUUAUCUCUUUGUGGAUAUAUGCUCUAUCAGCUAAUCCAUGAUUUUUAUCACAAAAAUCUGAAACAUAUGAAGUAGAAGUCCAAGUAAACAUGUUUGCUACUAUCUUACAUAUUACUAAUGAAUUAUGAAAAUUAUUUCUAGUGUAAAGGUGUAAAAAUUCAAUGAUAUGAUCAACUUAUACCUUGUGCAGGCAGAUAAUUAGACGAACAAUGAUGUCAUGAGUGUUGAAUAAAGGAAGUUUAGAUGCGUGGAGCCACUGUUUCUUUUCCCUGUCUUUUUACAUUUCGUUCAAUAAAAAGUUGCACUUCAUUUAAAUGUAUGUUGAACAUCAGAAUAUUGGUAUUUCUUUUUAUUCAGUGGGUUGUAUUGCUGUAAUCAUUAGACCUUGCUUUAGCUUUUCACUAUGGAAUUACUGCUGCUUUCAUUUUACCUACUUAUAAUUUUUUUUCUUGACAAAGUGGUCAAUUUUGAAGAGGCAAAUAGAAAACUGCAUGGUCUUGCGCUCUUACUUUAUUGCACCUAAGGUAAUUUGCCUUAGCUUGAUGAGUAUGGUCAUUGUACUUGGAGCAGGUUUUGCUAAGUAAAUUAAACUUUAUGUAAGAUUCUAUCCUCCAGCAUAUUUGGAUAUGCAACUUCUCUUCCUAAUAAAAAACAUAUAAGUCCCACGUUUGGCUAAUAUUUAUAAACGUAUUAUAAUCAAUAAAUCACUUUUUAUCCAUACAUUCAUGAGAGAGACCAUUAGUAAUUUUUUUCCAGGAUAUUGGGAAUUGGAAGCUCAUGGAAGGAGGAAGGAGAGACUUAGAUUUUGAAGUUUGGUAUAGUUGCAAUAUAACUCCAAAUCCUUAACGGUCUUUAAAUUGCGUUUAGAUUUUUCCAUCGUAUACAUAAUUGUUUUAAAUACAUUGCCAAAUAUAUCUGUUGGCUGAGAUUAUGGUUUUGAAUAAAACUACACUUGUUUCUCGCAAAUGAAAUCAAGGGAAAAUUUAUAAUUCACAUAUUUCACGUGUAUGAAAGUAGGACAAAAUGGUUUCAGCUGUGUGAAAACAGGGGAAAUCACUCCAUUAGAUAUUCAGCAACAGAAAAUAGGGGAAACAGAUGGAAAAACGAGAUAAAGGACAGCAAUAGGAGCUUUCCUUACUUCACAAGAUUCUUACAAGAUUCUCGUUAUAUGAUUAUGACAUAUUUUUGCUACUUUUACGAACUUUAAAACAAUGCAAAUUACAUUUAUAGUUCUCAUUCAUUUUAUAAAUUUCUUUGACUUUUCUACUAAAAACACAUUAUAUAUUAACAUUCUCCCCCUCAACGCGUUUUUCUUAAACUCCAAGUGCUUCUAUUAAUUGUUUGGUAAGAGGAAAUUACACUAAAAGUCAAUUUUUGGAUUUGGCAAAAAUGUCACUUUUUUAAAAGUCUUUGCAAAAUUGUCAGAUUUAGACAUUUUUGCCCCUUUGAAUAAUUUGAAUACUUUACAUGUCCUUCAUUAAAUUAGAUAUGACUAGAUGAAAAACUGUUCAAAAACUGUGUAAAUGUCAAGGAUAAAUGACUCAUUAGAUGAGCUUGGACCUGUCCCUUAUGCUAGUUACGUGUAGUGUAAUUUUUGUCUCGGUUCAAGUGUCGAGAAUGACAAACAAUCGGUCGAGCUGUCAUGCAAUAUGUUGUUUAUGAAUCCAUAUUUUGCUUGUGAAGUUGAACAUAUAUUUUUAAAUAUCUGCAAAUGAUAAUGGAAUGAUAAUGGCGAUGUAAGUUAAAGAUAAAAAAUGUAAGUUGAUAGUAUGCUGGGGAACAUCGUAAGUUGAAAAUACCGUUACGACAAGUAUGCAAGCUUCAAUGAAAUUUUCAGUUUAUAAGGGUGAUAAGCAGUAAAGAUAAGAAAAAAGAGCCACAUGCGCUGAUUUAUUAAACAAGUUCAAAAAGCACUCCAACUAUUAAAUUGUUCAAAGUAAUUCAAUUUAAUUAUGCUAAUUGUCCUUUCCUUUUCUCCGUAGUAAUGCUAUUUAACAUUGGUGGUGUUUAUCAUUUAUGUGUCAAUUAGUUCACUAUAUACAAUUUACUAAUUACAAUGUACUUGGUGGGGGAUUAAAAUUAGAAUUUUUAGUGAAUUGUGAUAGAAGUUUUUCAAUUGUCUGGUUGAAUCAUUUUGACCAACUAUAGAGUUGGAGUGCCUUUUGUACGUUUUUAAAGAUUGAGCAAUUUAACUUUUUAGUUAUUUUUAUUCUUUUUUAAGAAAUCAACAAUUUACCCCUUUUCUUUCUCUUUAUUGCUUUUUUACCUUUUUCCUUGUCUUUAUUGCUUUUUGUACAUUUUCAGUGAACAAUUCUACUUUACAAUCAUCUAUUGAGAAUGAGGAAAACAUCUGCUAGGACUGACUGUUUCACUGUUGGGAUGUUGUGCAGAUUGUCAACAUAAGGAUCUGUAAUUUUUAUGCCAACAUAAUGUGCAAUAACAUCCGCAAACAAUAAUGAUAAGAAAAUGAUAAUAUAACUUUAUAAUGUAUAGUACAGUAGGGGAACAUUGAACAUAUAACGUCUUCAACGACAUGGAGCGGCUGUUUGAGAAACUUGUGUUACAUUGGGGUUUGAACAUGUGAUUCGAUUUUGACCAACUUGACCACAAUGAGUGCAUUUCUUGAGUCGUGUGGUAGACUCGAAUCUAUAACGCUUAUGUCGUGUCGGUGGUCUACCUAGAAGAAGACAUACGAUGGGUGACAAAAUAAGAAUAUAUGUAAUUAAGCUCGGCUAUGAUAAUACUAGUUAGAGCUAAAAUGGAAGUGGCUUUGUCCCAUCUCCACUUCCAUUCGUCGUCCACUUAAAUAAACUUUCCCCCAUGCAACACGAUGAAUUUCAAAUGAUGACUCAUACCUGAAAUCUAUUUAGAUCCAUGUAAUACCAAAAAGGGAAAGAAAGGCUGUCGAGAGUUUUCAAAUGUCAAAAUCGAUAGUUAAAUUGUCUAUCCCGACAUCUUGUAAAUGUUGAAUUUGACAGUUCAAAUGUCUAACUCGACAAUUUCGAAGAUACUAUUCGACAGUUGAACGGCCAUGACUUUUGGGGAAGCUUAAAAAACGUGUUUGAAUCUUUGGAAGAAAUUAUUGAAAACAUUAAUGGUGAUAAUCAAUUCUCAACUACAUCUCUAAAUCUUUCCAAAAAUAAAUAGGGAAUAACUCAAUGCUUUAUUAAUAUGGCAUCCUUCACAUUUUCUAGAGGAUGUUGGUAUAUUUUCCUUUCAAAAAUAUAUCAAAAAUCAAACAAAUCAAUGAAUUCUUCACAAUUUUCAAAUAAAUAUGACCAUGUUGUAUUCAACAUUUAAAAUAGUAAAUUAUAAGGUGAAAUUAUAAACAAUUUCUAAUAGUUAACCUUUGAAAAAUAGAUGAUCAAUCCAAUAGCUUUCACUUGUUGAUGAUGGAAUGAAGAUAAUGAAUAGUGAGAAUUUAUGUGUUUUUUUCACUUUUUAAUUUUUUUUUUUACCAAAAUUUAUAUUACACAUGUAAUAAUGAUAUUUCAAAUAUUUAUAAUAUACAAAACAAAUUAUUACAUCACAACAUUAAUGGCACCCAAAUCAAGCAUUAAAUGCUCAUAAAAAGGUGUCACAAAGGGUAUUAUGGACAUUUCGUAGUAAAAAGUGAUAUUUUUGGAAGAAUUUGGUGCAAAUGAAAUUUUUUUUGUGCAUUUUCAAAUUUAAUGGCAUUUAUGAAAAUUUCCCUUGUUGUAAUCUCUUUGUUGGAAGUGCCUUUGUGAUGAUAUUAGAAAUUUGCUCUUUGGACUCGCAAUGGAUGAGUUCUUCUCUAUCUUCAAUUGCAUCUCUCGUGAAGUGGAACUUGAUUGCAAUAUAUCUGGUCCGACUAUAAAACAUGGAUUUUUUGACAUAACAAUAACUAAUUUGUUGUCACAAAAUAAUGGUGUGGCUUCUCCUUCUCCCCAAUGUCUUCUAAAAUUCUUCUUAGCCAAAUGACUUGUGAGGUUGCAAUCAAGGUUGACAUAUGUUCAACAUCAGUUGAGGUUGACCAACUAUUUGUUGCUUCGUGGAUAGCAAGAAAAAUACUCUCGAACCAAGUGAAAAUGCAUAACCGAAGGUGCUCUUCAUAUCAUCAACACAACCUCCCAAUCACUAUCACAAAAACCAUUUAACUUCACUUCUAAAUUCUUCUCAAAUCUGAUCCCAAAAUUUAUAGUCCCCAUUUUAUAUUCCAAAACUCUCUUUCCAACACCAAAAUGCUUAUGUGAUAGACUAUUCAUGUACCUUGAAAGUAAACCUCUGGCAUACAUAAGAUCCGGUCUUAUAGCGGUAAGAUAAAGCAAGUUUUCAAUCAAGCUUCUAUAAGGAGUUUUAUCCAAUUUCUUCUCCAUCAUCCUUCAUCAAUUUCUCGUUGCAAGCAAGUGAAUUUUCAAUACUUCUACAUCCAAACAUUCUGGAAUUUUUUAAGCAUACUUCAUUUGAGAAAUAAACACUCAAUUUCCAUAUUGAUAUAUUUCCAUACCAAGAAAAUAAUGUACCAGCCCCAAAUCAUUCAAUUCAUAUCUUUUCAUCAUGUCAACUUUAAAUUCUUCAAUUAUUUUUGUAUUUUUUUUUGUAAACAUCAAAUCAUCAAUCAAUGUUACCUUGAUGUUUCAUGUACAAGGUUGAUGGUAAGUGUGUUUUUACACACUUAUUAGGCACUUUAAUGAGCUAAUUAUUGAUGUAAUUGAGUAGAUUCCUAUUCAUAAUUGUGUAAUUAUCGUGUUUGUAGGCUAAAAUUCCAAAUUGAAAGAGAAAAAGGCUAAAGGAAGGAAAAAUGACCCAAAAAUGGACAAAAGUAUGACUAUGGGGACUAAAAUGUACAAGUCAGAAAGUUCAAGGACUCAACACUACACCAAAAAAGGCUUUUGCAACGGUCUUUAGACCUUUUGCAGCGUUUUAGCGUGUGUUGCGAAGGUUGAUGUUGCCAUUAAGGAGAGAGUUUUUGCAACGUUGCAAAAGUCAAUUUUUUGCAACGUUGUAGAUUGACUUUUGCAGCCUUUAAACAACGUUGCAAAAGUCUAGCUUUUGAAACGUUGAUCAAAAUUGAAAAUGACACUUUGUGAACAAGUUUUGGAAUUGCAAAAAAAUUGAUAAUUUCAUUGCAAAUUUUUGAAUCAAUACACUUGAACAUUAGAGCGUGAUACAACACCACCUAAUAAAAAGGAGUUGGAGUUAAAGAGUUUCUGUUGCAUCCACUAUAUAGCUCGAAACUACAAUAAACUAUCCAAAGAUCAAUACUUCUUUUGUUCCUUUCUCACAGUCCCUAUGCCUCUGCUGCCGGUCUUCAUUGCUUCCAGCACCUAUAAAAUGGCAAUUACUCGCAUUAAAAUAGCCACUUCACUACAGAUUGACAAGGCAAUUACAACACAAUACAAAUUACAUGCAUGAAAUCUCAUUGUCAUUUAGAGCUAUGCUUAUGUUAAUGAAAUAUGGGAAUGGUGUUUAUGUAAAGCAUUCUGUGCUAAUGAGUAAAAAUUCAGAAAAAUGACAGAUAAUAAAAAAUGCAAACAUCUCAAACCAAAUAACAUCUAGAACCUACAAUCACCAACAAGCAAAAUACUAACUCCUAACUUCAGAAGUAACUAAUAGUCGAUCACUAACAUGAAAAAUAUGAACCGAUUUAUGAGGUUUCCUCCCAAAAUUUAAUCAGUGACCAUUUCUUUGCUGAAUGUUAUAGACAUCAAAAAUAUGUAUUCUGUUGUGAUAUGGCAAUGUUGAAAAACUAAUUAUAGUGGUGUUACUCUAGAAACUAAGAAAUAAGGAUGAGGGAAGAAAGAAGUAAAUCUACUUACUAAUGAAUCUAAAUUCCACUAAGAAGCUAGAAAGCUUUCAAUUAAUAAGAAACACUAAUGUAGCAACUCUACCAUAAAUGACAUAAUUGACAAUGCUUCAAGAAAGAAAAUAUCCAAACUUCUUAGAUCCCACGUCUUAAUUUCAAUGUUUAGCAACUAUGGUUAAUGCAGAUUCCGGUAUGAUGAACCUACACAAAAAAUGCCUUGUGGAUGCUAGAAUAACUACCAGUCUACCAUACAGGGCCUCUACAAUGUAUAAGUCAGAAAGUUCAAGGACUUAAUUAGUUUCAAAUUAUGAAGGACUUGAUUGAAAAAGAAUUCAAAAUUCAAGGACUAAAUUAGAUGAAACCAAAGUUGGAGGUCUUGAUGUGCAAUUCUUUUGAGACCAAACUGAAGAGAAGGAAAAAAGGCUAAGGAGUGUGCCUAAGCUCCCAAUUUUGGACAACUGAGAGCAACCAAAGGACUAAGGUGCGCACCUCAUUUUGUAUUAGGCACGUGUCUUAGGCUGAAAAUCAAGACCCCUGUGCACAUUUUAAUUUUUUAAGGGCUCUUCUUGUAAUUUGGCUGGAACCAUUUUUAUUCUUUUUAAACACCCUUUCUCACCAUUCUAUCUUCAUCUUGAACAAACCUUAGCCUAGAGGAGAUAAAGAAGAAUUGGAGAAAGGAGAAGAUUCAAACUAAGAUUUUGGAGUUCAAGGAAAGAUUUAAGAUUUCAACCCUAUUUUUAUUCAAGAAUACAUUUAAAAAAAUGAUUUCUCCUUUCAUUUUGUAUCUUUUCAUUAGCUCCUUCAUUUUGUAAUGAAUUUCAUCACAUUCUCCGUGUCCUACCCUUACUUGACAAUGGGUUAAGGGUGUAUAGUUGGGAUUUAUUAAUAUCAAUAUAUUUGCCAUUUAAUGAUAAGGUGCCAUUGUUCUUGUGCAUUUUUUUACUAUGUUUACAUUUUCAUCAUUUGUUUGGCCAAUAGAUGAUUGGAUUAGGUGGUUUGUGCAAUUACUGAGAGAUGGUUGUACUUUCUAGACCAAAGUAAUUAAUGUCCUAGGUUGUUUUAGGAUAUAGAGAUAUACUCCUAACCCUAACUGACCCAUUGAGUUAUUUUCACUACAAUUUAAUGCGGCUGGUUGUGUUUUUAUCAACAUAGAGAUAUAGUGGGUAAAGCGAAUCAAUUAAAGUUAGUUUCACUUGAGAGAGGUAACUAACUAAAAUUGGAAAAUUGAGUCUAACAUUGGUAAUUUAUAUUUUUGGUUUGUUGAGAUAUUAAUGAAAUGACGGUAAGGUGAAAUCAUAAAUCCCAACCCAUCUAAAUUUUGGAACCUUUUUCCUUUCAUAACUAUUAAUUAAAUUUAAGCCUACAAGUAUUUUUUUUUAUUUCUAAUUUUCAAGAUUUAAUUGUGUACACCUCUAUCACUAAUUUGAAUCAACUUUCGUGUAAUUGGAAGAAGCACUAUUCGAGGGAUCGACUCGGACUCAAAAAGUUCAUUGUAUUACUUGUAAGCGACCCAUGCACUAUGGUAUGCACUUUUAGCGAACAAAUUUUUGGCGCCGUUGUCGAAAAAUGUUUAAUUCAAUUACAAUCUUUGUUGAUUCUAAUUUUCACAAUUUUACUUUUGGUCUUUUUUUUUUUUUUUUUUUUUUUUUUUUUUUUUUUUUUUUUUUGUAGUUUUUAUAUCUUUAUAGUGAAACUGACUUCUUAAUUUUGGUUUCUCUAGGUCUUUGGUAGUGCAUGCUUCAUUCGAGAAGUUUUGAUCUUUUUGAACUUGAUUCGGAUAUUGAAAGGACUUUCCGAAAAAGGCAAUGAAAACAAAGAGAAUUAAGAUGCUAAGAACUAAUUGAGAUGGCAAACCAAGGGGGUAAUGUGGAACCUAAUGCUCAACCAAAAAAUAUUCCUCGAGGUGGCAUGCCACUAGCUUUUGGUAACCUAGCAGGUAGGGCUCAAGGGCCCAUUGUAAAUGAGGAAGAUAUGCUAUUUGGGGACUUCAUGAACUCACCCGUGUUAGAGAAUGAAUCAAGUAUUGUCUACCCUUCAUAUGGACAUCCAAACUUUCAACUUCAUUCGGAUGUCAUCAGUUUGUUCUCCAACACCAUUCCAUUCUAUGGGAGAAUUGGUGAGAACCCUCAACUCACUUGUUGCACGAAUUAUAGAGAUGUUGGAAUUUUUAAAUAUGAAGGCGUGAAUGUGGAAGCAAUCCGGAUGAGGUUAUUUGUUCAAACUUUGAAGGAUAAGGCAGGGAAUGUGACGCCAGGUAGGAUAGUGAUUAUCCUAUUGGUUUGUUGUAGCAGAUAAUUUGCAAGAAAAGAACGUCAGAAAACGCCCAAAAAAUCAGAGAAAAUACUCUGAAUUCAACUCAAUAUUAUUAAUAAUGCAGGAUCCUCAAAAUUAACCCACAAGCCGGGUUAAAUAGCUGCGAAAUACGAAAUUAUGGAAAAAUUACCAAAAAUGGCAAAAUCUCGAAAUUAUACCAAAAUAAAUUAUUAAGUAAAAGAAGUAAAUUGCCAAAAAUUUGGCUCAAUUCGAGUUUUCUAACAUAUGGAAAAAGAAAAACGAAAUAUUACCAUCAAUAGUAAAAAAUAACUUAAAAUUGAAUUUUGGAAAGGAAAACAGUGGAUUUUGGGCUCGAAAUUGACGUCCACCAAGCAUAGCCGAAAAGAGCUUUUUGGAUUGGGGUCAUAAUAGCGAUUCCGAUAACCGUAGCCAAAGUUAUGGCCAAAUUACCAAAGACGUGUCAAUUCCCCCAAUUAAGGAAAUAAUGGCGAUUCACUUUCCAUCUUUGCGCCGAUCUGCCAUCUCAUGGUAUCUUAGUGUCAUCAUCGUGCUAUCUGACAAAUCAGUAUCACUCGACUCGGAUCUUCCUGCAUCAGAAUGGCUUGAAACUUUAUCGCCCUGAAGUAUAAAUAGUUGGGAGAAACUUGUUCAGAAAUUUACAACCAAAUUCUUUCCACCCACACGAGUAGCCAAACUCAAGCAUGACACAACCACUUCCAACAAUCUGAAUUUGAGAGCUUUCAUGAGGCUUGGGAGAGGUUUAAAGAUAUGCUUCGAAAAUGUCCAAAUCAUGGAAUCACAAGGGGGCAACAAGUGAAUUAUUUUUAUGCCGAGUUAACUCUUUGCCGUUCAGAUGUGGAUUCAUCGUCUAAUGGCUCAAUCAAGAAGAAGAGUAUUCGGAAAGCAUAUGAUCUAUUCAAGGUCAUAAGUGAGCAAAGUGCUAUGUGGCCGGAUAGAGGUUCAAAAGAGGGGUUGGUGAAAUUACCACUAGACGUGGGGUGCAAUUGCUCGAAAUCACGGUGAUACACCCGAAGGCUCAAAUUGACAGGGCACCCAUUGAAGAAGAAGGGGUUGUACAAGAACGUAAUACAAAGGAUGAAGCGACCAAGGAAGAUGAAUCGGAGCCAUCAACAUCAAAGUAUCCAACACCGGUCAAGGCCUAUGUGCCUCCUAUUCCCCUCCUACAAAGGUUCUACAAAUAGACAUUGGAUGCUCAAUUUGGAAAAUUUUUGGAAGUCUUCAAAAAUCUACACAUAAACAUUCUCUUUGCUGAUGCGUUGGCCCAAAUGUCAAGUUAUGCCAAAUUUAUGAAGGAUAUUCUUUCAAACAAAAGGAAACAAUAAGAACAUGAGACAAUGAUGCUAACGAAGGAAUGUAGCGCCAUUUUGUAAAAGAAGCUAUGGCCAUAAAUCAAAGAUCCAGGGAGUUUUAUUAUUCCAUGCACUAUUGGUGAUUUAAAUUUUAGUAAAACUUUAUGUUAUCUUGGUGCUAAAAUUAAUUUGAUGCCUUUGUCUAUUUUCAGGAAGCUGGGAUUGGGAGAAGCUAAGGCCAGCACUGUCUCAUUACAAUUGGCUGAUCGAUCAAUUAAAAUCCUUAGGGUGUCAUUGAGGUCGUGUUAGUCAAGGUGGACAAAUUCAUAUUUUCGGAUGAUUUUAUAAUUCUUGACAUGGGGGACUAUGACAUCCCUAUCAUUUUGGAAUGAUUGUUCCUUGCCACCGGUCGAGCUUUGAUUGAUGUAAAAGAGGGGCAACUCAUUCUAAGAGUCCAAGAUGAACAAGUUACAUUCAAUAUCUUGAAGGCCAUCAAGUAUUCCUCUGAAUCCGAUUCAUACCUUCGAGUGGACGUUGCUAAUCAUAUGGUUGCCGAUUCUUUUUAUGGGCUUUCUAAGGAUCAUCUCGAAACAUGUGUUGUCCAUUCUUCAAAUAUCAAAGAUAAGAUCCUAAAGUUGAGCAUAUGGCACAUUAUUUGAAGGCUAUACCUUCUCGGUCUUACAAGAGGACACCAAAUUUUGAGGACUUGGAAAAGAGCUCUUCACUACCAAUACCAUCUCUUCAACAGGCACCUAUACUUGACUUGAAGCCUCUUCUAUCUCAUUUGAGGUAUGCCUAUUUGGGAGAGUCAUCUACACUUCCAAUUAUCAUUGCUAAUUCCUUAAGUGAUUUGGAAGAAGACAAGUUACUUCGGGUGUUGAGGGAACACAAGGAAGCCAUUGGUUGGACUAUUGCAGAUAUUUGGAGAAUUAGUCCUUCGGGUGUCGAGGGAACACAAGGAAGCCAUUGGUCGGACUAUUGCAGAUAUUUGGAGAAUUAGUCCUUCACUAUGCAUGUAUAAAAUCCUUCUGGAUGAUGAUUUUUAAACCAUUAGUGGAGCAUCAAAGGCGGUUGAAUCCCAACAUGAAAAAAGUGGUAAGAGCCGAGGUAGUAAAGUGGCUUGAUGCGAACAUUAUUUAUCCGAUUUCAGAUAGUGCAUGGGUGAACCUUGUUUAAGUGGUGCUAAAGAAAGAAGGUAUCAUUGUUGUGGAAAAUGAGGAUAAUGAACUUAUGCCUACUAGACCCAUGACCGGUUGGAGGGUAUGCAUUGACUACCACAAGCUUAACAAGGCUACAAGGAAGGAUCACUUUCCCCUUCCUUUUAUUAAUCAAAUGUUUGAGCGGUUAGCGCGGUAUUCUCAUUACUGUUAUUUGGAUGGGUAUUCGGGCUAUAAUCAAAUUCCAAUAGCCCCAAAGGAUUAAGAGAAAAUUACCUUUACAUGCCCAUAUGGUACAUUUACUUAUAGAAGGAUGUCGUUUAGUCUUUACAACGCACCCACCACUUUCUAAAGGUGCUUGAUGGCUAUCUUUUUCGACAUGGUGGAAAAUGUAUUGAAGUUUUUAUGGAUGAUUUCUCAGUGUUUGGAGCCUCAUUUAACGGAUGCCUAAGCAAUUUAUAGAUGGUGUUAAAAAGAUGUAAGGAAACCAAUUCAAUACUUAAUUGAAAAAAAUGCCAUUUCAUUGUCCAAGAAGACAUAGUUCUUGGCCAUCGAAUUUCACAAAAAGGGAUAGAGGUUGACAAGGCAAAAAUCCAAGUCAUUGAGAAAUUACCUCUACCAACCUUGGUGAAGGAGAUAAGGAGUUUUUUGGGACAUGCCAGAUUUUAUAGGAGGUUUAUCAAGGAUUUCUCGGAGAUUGCAAAGCCGCUUUGCUCCUUACUUGAGAAGAACACUCCAUUUGAUUUUUUUCAAGAGUGUAUUUAUACUUUCAACACUCUUAAAGAGAAACUCAUCAUGGCUUCUAUCAUUGUAGCUCUGAAUUUGAAUCUGCCGUUUGAGCUUAUGUGUGAUGUACAUGAUUAUGCCAUUGAGCAAUUUUAGGGUAAACAAGAGAUAAAAUCUUGCACGUUAUCUACUAUGCUAGCCAAACUUUAACCGAUGCUCAACUGAACUAUGCCACUACUGAAUAAGAGAUGCCUGCAGUGGUAUUUGCAUUUGAUAAAUUUCGAUCUUACCUCACUAUGUCGAACGUGAUUGUUUACACAGACCACUCAGUCCUCAAGUAUUUGCUAGCAAAGAGAUGCCACGCCUCGGUAGAUCAGAUGGGUACUUCUUCUACAAGAGUUUGAAUUGGAAAUUUGAGAUAAAAGGGGAUAAAAAAUGUUGUUGCCGAUCAUCUGUCUUGACUUGAGCAAACCGAAGAAGUAGUGGAUGGGGAGAUAAAUGAAGAAUUCUUUGAUAAACAACUCUUGCAAAUUAUGCAUAUUCUACAAACCAUUUAUACACCAUGGUAUGCAACCAUUUGAACUUCCUUGCUAGUGGUAUCACUGUCCUAGAUCUAUCUUACCAACAAAGGAUGAAGUUCUUUGCCGACAUCAAGCAUCAUUUUUAGGAUGAUCCUUUGUUGUUCAAACGGGCCCAGAUCAAAUUAUUCGGAGAUGUGUACCGGAAGAAGAAAUGGAGCAAAUCCUUGAGCAAUGUCAUUCCUCUCCCUAUGGUGGUCACGUUGGUACCAUAAAAACUACAUCAAAGGUACUUCAAUUCAAUUUCUAUUGGCGUACCUUGUUUAAAGAUGCUUACACUCUUGAUUCCAAGUGUGACAAAUGCCAACUCAGUGGUAAUAUCUCCAACCGAAAUGAAAUGCCUUUGAAUUCUAUAUUGGAGGUGGAGGUUUUUUGUGUUUAAGGUUUAAGGUAUUGAUUUUAUGGGACAUUUUCCUCCUUCAUUCUCAAAUCAAUACAUAUUGGUGGUAGUUGAUUGUGUGUCAAAGUGGGUAGAAGUGGUGGCUUUAUCUACUAAUGAUGCUCAAGUGGUAGUAAGCUUUUUAAAGAAAAACAUUUUCUCUCAUUAUGGCACCCCCGAGCUAUCAUUAGUGAUAAAGGUAAACAUUUUUGCAAUCGUCUCUUUGAUUCACUAUUGACCAAAUAUGGAGUAAAGAAUCGUAUGGCCACUCCUUGUCAGCCCCAAACUAGUGGCCAAGUUGAGAUCUCAAAUCGAGAGUUAGAGAGGAUACUUGAAUAGACGAUGAGUGCCUCUAGAAAUGAUUGGUCCAAGAAAUUGGAUGAUGCAUUAUAGGCUUACCUUACCACGUUCAAAACGUUCAUUGGUAUUUCUCCCUAUCGUCUUUUGUUUGAAAAAGCUUGCCACCUCCCAGUAGAACUUGAGCAGUGGCCUUAUUGGGCGAUAAAAGCUUUGAAUUUUGAUGUCAAAUCGAUUGGUGAGAGAAGAUUGCUUCAAUUGAAUGAACUUGAUGAACAAUGCUUUGAUUCAUACGAAAGUGGCCAAAUUUAUAAGGAAAAGACAAAGACAUAGUAUGACCAAAACAUUGUAAAGCGGGACUUCUUUUUUGGGCAACAAGUUCUUCUUUACAAUUCUCGACUCUGAUUGUUUCCUAAACAGCUCCGCUCGAGAUGGUAGGGUCCUAUCACCAUCGCUAAAAUUUUUUCACAUGGAGUGGUUGAACUUCAUCAUGAGGAAAAGGGAAACUUUAAGGCUAACAUACAACGGUUGAAACCAUACUUUGGAGGUGAUUUUUCAAAGGAGAAGUCAUCCAUUCCUCUUGCCAAUCCGGAGUGAACAAGGCCUAUAGUUGAGCUAGGGACUAUAACCAAGCGCUUGUUGGGGGGCAACCCAACUUUCUCAUCCUUACACAUUAUGUUACUUGUGAUUAAUACUUCUGGUUCUUGAUAUAUUGGAAAUUAAGAUAUAUCAAUAAGUUAUGUUAAUAUAAGGCAAGAAAUAGAAUCAAAAAGAAAAAAGUUGUUGAUAAUACUUUUGCAUAUGAUGAAUCAUAUCAUAUUAUGAAUAGUGAGAAACCAAAAUAAAAUGAUGGUAUCAUUCUAAAAUUAGUUUACUAAAGAAACCCGAAGUUUUUGGAUGCGAUCCUAGUAAAAUCAAACUUACAAAGGAUACUUGAGAUUCUUGGAUCUAUGGUCUGAACACCUAAAAGUGUGUACCCAUGUGAAAUGAAAAGGAAAAAAGUAAAGUCAUAAUAUAAAAUGUACGACCCUUUACAUAUUGAAUUUCACGAAAAAUUGUAUAAAUAAAUAAAUUAUCAUGUGAUUGUUAGUGAACAAUGCACGAUAUUUGAUAUUUAUAUAAUAAAUAUGAUUAUAGUCAACUUAUCUUAUAUAAAUUUAAUACUAUCCUUGAAAUAUUUAAUUUGCUUGAAACAUAAUUCAAGUAAUAUUAUCAUGAUAAAUAGUAAAUACGUGAUGUACAUUUUUUUCUUUACCAAUGGUUUGUCCAAUUGAAUUUUUCUGAUAAUGUUUUUAACGAGACAAUUUUUGUAGCAUACUUAAAAGAAUAAAUGCAGUUUUUUUAUUUAUUAAAUUUUCCAUAGUAUUUUUUCUAAUUGCUUUUGAUGAGGUAUAUUUUGUAAUGAAUUUAUCCUCAAAAUAAUAUUUUGAUAUCCCUAUAACAUAAAAGAGGGAGUUUGUUUGUUUACUGUUAAUAGGAAUGCGUGCCUCUACCUCUAGCUCCACCUUUUUUUUUUCGUCAUUUAUAAUUAUUUUUGGAACGUAAAACGACAUCAUAAGAUAAUGUAGGAAAAAAACUUUUUUACUCGCAACACCCAUACAUCUGAGUACAGACACCUCACACAACCAUCAUCUCCAUUCUCUUCUCAGAACUACUAGAUCUUUUUAAUUCACCAGUUUCCCAGAAAAUCGUCCAUACUUCUCCUUCCUUCUCUCUUUUCUUUUUCUUUCUCUCAAGAUUCUCUCCAUAAGCUACGUAAUCUUGCCGGAGCUUUUCGAUUUAGAUUCAAGCCUCUAAGCGGAUGUAGGUAUUCUUGAAGAAUGGGUUUACAAGUGUUUCACUGACGGAGUGUUGAAUGAACUAAUUUUACUGUUUCUUUUUCUCUAUGUUUUGAUUUUGUUGGUUUGUAUUAUCUGUGGUGAAUGAUUUUUGUUUCUUCUUCUUGUUUUUUUUUUUCCGACGAUUGAAUUGAUGAUGCUUUUUGUCCUUCCUUCUCUUUGAAAAAUUGAAAUGAAAUCUUCUUCACUUGACUGAUAGUCAUUUUCUCAUUAGGAUUUAAUGGUGUACACUAAAAUGGGCAAAAUAUGUCUGCAGAACAGGAUGAUCAUGAUGAUUCGAGCUCAAGCAGUGUUUGGCACAAUACAAGUGGGUACAACAGAUGGGUAAAUUUCAUUUUUACAUUUUUUUUCACUCUGACUUAUUUGUUAAAAGUCUUUGAAUUAGAGUGAAAUAAAAGAAAAGUGUAUUAUUUAAAAAAAAAGGAGGAAUAGAGAAAUGGGGAAUGGAGAUAUGGUGAAUCGAGGCUUACGAUGAGGCCCCCAAAGGUUAAUUGAUUUGUUUCUUUCUCAAUUCUUUCAAUUUUAGUACUCUGACAAUGUUAGUUCCCAUCAUAUUUUAGAUUUUGGAAAUAUUCUGAAGAAAGAACAAAAAUAAACCACUAUUGAAUUUUUGAGAUUUCCCAAAAUAAAAUUUUAAAAAAGGUUUGUGUCAGAAGCAAACAAACUCUGAUUAGAAGCCAAUAUCUAGCAGCUUAAUCUGAUGAAGUGCCUGUAUGCAUGUUACCAAGUAGUGUAAUCAUAAAAGUUUACAUAUAAGAAAUUAAUCAAGGUUGAUGAUGAAAAACAACAAUUGCUGGAGAGUUGUAUAGAAAUCUUAUAAUGAUACUUCACAAGCUUCUUUGCCAAAUGAUUCCCAACCAUCGUCACCCUUUUUUCCUCCUGUAAAUAAUCAAUCCAAAAUUUUUACAUUUUUUGAAAACUUAAAUGAUCGAAAGAUAUUGUAGGAUAUGGAGCUGUGUUCAAUUACUAGAAAGUUGCACAUAGAAUUUUGAAAUCUGGGUAUUGCUUUAUUUUGGUGGAGAAAUGGGAAGUUCGAAUGAAAAAAGAGUUACUGCUGUGAUCAAUGAUCAUGAUGGAUGGACCUACAGAAGGUAUGGUUUUUGUUUAAAUUUUUUUAUUCUUUCAUCUUUAAUUAACUAAUUGUGCUAUGUAUGAUUGCAAUGUGGUAUUGAUUAGAAUUUGAUUACUCCUAGAUGAAAUAAUGAGUUCUUUUAUUAUAAUUGAUUAUAACUACUGGAAAUAUUUUAAUUUUAAUUAAUGUUUGGAUUGAAUAAGAUUACCCUUUUCUUAAUAUUAUUAUUGAUACUCGACUUUUGGCGUAUAAAAUUCAGGUAGAGAUGAGGACCUUAUGCUAAUCAGAGUAUUUUAAUUGUUAAGGCUAUACUUCGGUAAAAAUUGGAAUUGAAUCGAACCAGUCCUUUACUUGUCUUUUUAACUCAUUUUGGGACAUGGGAUAUGUGUUCUAUUGGUGGUAUGAAAUCAAACAGUAUUUUUUUUUUUUUUUUAAUUGUUCGAAGUUUAAUGUCAUUAGGAUUUCAUUGCCCUUAAGUUGGUUGUAGUCCAUUUAAGAGAGGUGCAUGUACUUAUAAAGCCUGUGCAUGUAUAAACCAUUGCUAGAUAGCAUUUGAGAUGCCCCAAUAAGUCUAAGCUAUUUGGAAACAAGAUAUCAUUCCGAUUGUGGCUCAAAAUUUCUUCAACUAUGUCUUCAAUUUAUUCAACUCUGGGACCCAUUAUGCCGAAUAUAUAUACUACAGCUUGGAAGUUGAGUGCCUAUGUAGAAAUUCUUAAAUUUUUUUUUCUCAUUUUAUGUUCUCUAGAUGUUUAAGAGAAUUGGUUUGACAAUACAAUUUGGUUUUAGAAUAUAUUCUCACUUCAAACAUAUUUAAUGAUAUAUUCUAAUUAGCCAACAUUGCGAUAGGUGGAAUUCAAAAUUUUGGGCAAUUGACUUUAGAAUUAUGGUCGAACAUAUCCCUGAUUGUAUGAUAGCAGGUGAAAUUUGAAAACCCAAAAUUAACAACUUUCAGUUCAAUGUUGACAAAAAGAGAAAGAAACUCAAGUUCCAACUAUAUAUUAUCUUGCAAUCGGGAAGGAGAAUGAGAGUGGGGGUAGGAGAGAAGAGAGUCAUUCAUGUUGUAGAGGACUCGGUUGCAACAAAAGCAAAGGUUAAUUAUACCCUUAUAACUCUUCUAGUAAAGAGGAAUUUUCUUUGCCUUGAGAAUAAUGAAUUAAUUUGAAAUAAAUAAUUUAGCAUAGUUAUUAGAAGCGAAGUUUCAAUAAUUAGUAAGAUCCUAUGUUAUGCAGCUAAUUUAAGCAAAAUUAAAUGACAAAGAGAUUGAAAGGAUAAGUGUCCAUGAAGAUGGGGAUGGAGUUAAAGCAACAAAAUCGACCUCCCACAUGUUUUGCUAGACUUCUAUGGCUUCUGACACCAGCAACAAUGAUGGAUUUUUUGUUUUUGUAGGGCUAUUGAAGAUUGUUUCUCACCUUAGGUUUGACAUUACUCUAUCCUUUUAGCAUCUUAUUGCUAACAGCAAGUGUAAUUUACUUUUAAGCUCACUCCAACAAUGGUUUAUGCAGAGUUUACCUACUCGGCACCAUAGGAACCCUCUUUCUCUCUCUCUCACACACACUCCCUCUUAUAGUAGUUUUGUAAUGUAAAUAGAAGCUGCUUGAGGCAGAUUAUUUUCUAUAAUUAUUAUGGAGAGCCAUAAUUUUUUGAGCUGGAACUCGAAUUGGAAUAUACUUUGAAAGAUAUAGGAAUUGGAACUCUAUGGAUCAGUUGGUAAGAAAAAGAGAGAGAGAGAGAGAGAGAGAGAGAGAGAGAGAGAGAGAGAGAGAGAGAGAGAGAGAGAAUAUGCUGAGAACAUAGGGUUUCAUCACCAGCAAAAUUAUGAAACUGUUAAAAAGUAAUUGCUUUUACUAUUAGCUUUAUUAUUUCUAGACAAUUCACCAGUUGAAAAUUCAUUUUGUAUUUAUAAUUUAUUCUCUAAUAAUAACCUAACUCAAAAAUUUGAAAAUGUGAAAAAAAUUAAACGGGGCAAAAAGUUGCCUUGUCCCCGCUCCAUUCUGUUGCCAUCCCUACUUGUACAGCUCUCUCAUGUGUGGGGAGUCCAUAGAAAAAAAUAAUAAUAAUAAAAAUUGAUAAGCCUCUUAUUGUGAGGGGACUAUACCAUGCUAUACAUCAAGCACUUUUGAAACUUAUUCCUCGGCUACAUCAUUUCAUUUUUCCUUUUUCUUUUUCCAAUCGCACAAUCUUUCAUAAAAUAAUAUUAUACGUAAAUCAAAAUUUUUUUAUUCUUCUUCAACCACUCAUUUUUUUCAAAAAAAAACAUUAUUCUACCAUUUUCAUUUCAAGAAAUGGGGUAGUAAGAUGAUGAUGUCAGAUGGACCUCAACUUGACAUCAUUCAGUUCAAACUCAUUUCUUUGGUACCUGCCAGCAACUGCAUUAAUGUCACAUUUUCAGUCUCUGCUUAUAGGUAGCCAAUAAAUUUGGUGGCCAUAUCAUGAAAAUAUAUACCUCCCUGAUUGUAGCCAAACGCCUAGUUUCUUGUUCAACUCGACCCAACUGUGCUUGAACUCUCUCCUUAACCUCCAUUUUCUUCUUUUGAAUCUCCUCCUCUUUAGCCCUAAAUGUCAAAAGAGCAGAUUUCAACAUUUCUUCCUCUUCUUUUGUCAUAAUCCCAGUGAAACUCAAACUUCCUGAAAUCUGCCCUGUUUGCAUCAGAGACUGUUGGGUUUCAACUGACCUCUGAUUUUGCAUUAUUUUUUUAUUUUUUUUUUAAAAAAAAAAAAUUUCUCCUCCUCCUUCUUCUUUUCUUUUCUUUUCUUUUAUCUUUUGCUUUUGCUUUUGCUUUGGAAUGACUAAUGAUGAAGGCUCCCACUUUGUUGCGUGUUUGCAGGUCUUAAAAUGGUUAAAAGUUUUCAGGGCAGGUUGGCUUUGGUAAUUCUUUGUGACCCACAGGAGAAGAAAAAUAAUUAAGAAGCCUUUCCUGGUUUGAUAAAGACAGUGUAUGUGUUGCUACUUGAGCAUCAGAAUGAAAUGGUCCAACUGCCAACCACUUCCAACGGAUAGAUUUGCAUUUGGAUAUGUUUAUUGAAAUAUGUUUACUGUUAGCUUUAAUUUUAGAUAUUUGAGUUUUUAUUAUUUCGGUCGAUUUUUAUUAGAAAGUAAUUGUUUUUAGAUAUAUAGGAGUUUUUACUGUAAUGGCAUAAACAACUAUUAAUUAUUAUGUUUCUAAAUUGAGGUUUUAUUUUCGCUUAUGCCCCUUUUGGACGAGCUCACCUUUUCUAUUCACCCAAACUCCUUAAUUUUACAUCUAUGUAUUUUUCUGUACCUGUGCUAUUACAUAGUCAACUACACCAUGUCACGUGCUUUGCACGUGCGUCUUACUCGUAUAUAUAUAACUCCUGAAGAGAUCAACAAAACCUUGUUUUAAUCAUUAUGUUACUACAAUUAUCAUGUUUUAUUCCAUUAGGUUUUCUUGAAAACAUUAACGUAUUAGAUAUCAAUAUUUAAGGCAUUGACAUACAAGAUGUAAAUUGCUUGGUACAAGAAUUGAAAUUAGGGGGAGUAAAUGUACUACUUUUCCUUCAAUCAAGUUUUGUCACAUUGUGUUUUCUUGACAAGGUUUUAAUGAGACAUUAUUUUACUACAUCAAAUUAUUUAUACUCUUUCUUUAUUUGUCGACAUUUUUGUCUCAUCAAGUUUUUUGUCAAACGAGGUUUUAAUGAGAUAGUUAUUGUAUAAAUAGUCAUUCAAGGGAGAAUGUUGUAAAUAUAGUGAAAAACCUAUCGUUCGACCCAACUAACACCUAGAGGGGGGGGUGAAUAGGUGUUCUUGCGGAAUUAAAAACUUUUUGAAUAAUUCAUGCAACAAGUCACACAAAUUAUAAUUUGUUCAGAUUAAUUCACGUGCUUUAUCUACCUAUGUUGGAUUACCAUUGACAAGUAAAUAAAUUAAAGCGGUAAAAACACAAUAAACAUGUUGACGGAGAAACCCAACUGGGUAAAAACUCCGGGCACAAGCCAGUAGAAAUUCAUUAUUGUAGAAACCAACUUACAGCACGCCAGACAUCAUUGACACUCUCAAUUUUCUGACCUCCUUGCUGUAUGAACUCAAGACCCUCCUGGAUUUUGUAGAUCCGUGCUAAAUCCCAGCCUUGUAUAAUUUCUACCUCCCGUGAAUCGCUACGCACUCCUGCUCUUCAAGCAAAUCCUUCCCGGAUCUUCAAACUGAUGAUCGUCUGGAAGUUUAAUUGGAGUUGUGAGACAGGUGUUUUGGUGUUUAUGGAUUUGAUGUUUUUACUCAACAAGCCAAAGAUUGGUAUGAGAACAAUGAAGGAUUUCUUUGGCUUUUGAUCCUUGGAGAGAAUGAUUUGGAUUUUUGGUUGCCAAGGAAUUGAAAGAAUAUUCAAAGUGUUUUCAAUGUGAAUUUUCGGGUUAAUGAACACGAAUCGGACGUUUGGUAUAUAUAGAGGUCGAUAUAUGGUAAUGUGGAGCGUCAAACAUUCACGAGCGUUUAAAAUUAGAAUUGGCUAGGUAACACGGUCGCUCGAGCGAGGUACUGGCGAGCCUCGAGCGACGUACAUUUCGCUCGAGCGAUGGCUCAGCGUGAGUCCAGCGAAGUUGGUUCUGCAAUUGUGGCUCGAGCGAGGUCAGGGCGAGACUCUAGCGAAAUCAAAGCACCGCUUGCAUCUUCGAGGCAUCCCACACAACCCUAGACCUAGCCUAUAAACUUUAGUUAAUUGCAACUCUAGACCCUGAACUAUUGGACAUUGACAAUUUGGUCCUUGGUCACAUAUUUGUCAAUUACAUAUUUUCCUAACAAACUCCCCCUUUGGCAUUCUGUGACAAAAACACAUUUGACAGUCAAGGAUAAAAAACAAAUUGACUUCAAACUACCAAUCUAUUCUAUCACAUCAGCAAUAUCUUGUUGAACUUGUUUCCUGAAAAACAAAACUCAAAUACCACGUGAAAAAGCAUGUGAAAUGGAAACAGUAAAUAUAGACAAGAUAUAAAUCAUAUAUCAUUAACCAGAUUAAGAAGCAAUAAUAAUGUAUGUCUAAAACACCAAAAACAGACAUUAAGAUUGCCAAAACAUCAAAAACUUAAUCUAGUUAUAAAAUGACAUAUAUACAUCAACUUUAUAUCACAGUUAUCAAAAAAUAAUUAUCUGCUCCAAUAUCUAUGCAGCUCCAAUAUCUAUGCAAUCUACUCCAUAUCUCAAUCUACUCCCCCUUUUUGUCACAAAGGGCCAAAGAAAAGCGAAAGCAACAAAAUGAACUAGAAGCAGCAUCUCCAGCACUGGAAGAAUCAGAACCACUCUCAGCACUCGUGCUCUCCUCCAAAUGAUCUCGAAUCCAGCUCAACUGACGCUGAUAGACAGCAAGAGCACGGUGAAACGUAGACAUCUCGGCUGACUGACGUCCGAAACAACACGUAACUGCAUGAUCUUAGCUAUCAUACGAGCCUGGUGCUCGAUUAGUGUAGACAUCUGACCUAUAAGCGUCACCAUGGUGUCAACGGGCAGAGAAGCCACCCCCGGAGUAGAAGUAGAUGUCGAAGCAAACGCAGAGCUAAGAGGCAUAGCAGAAGGAAAAACUGGACGAGGAGGGAGAAACACACGGGAGCCCCCUGUAAGAAUCUCAGUAAUAGGAUCAAAGGGCUCCGAAGGAUCAAAAACAUCAGGGGUCGCAGCCGGAGCGGUAGAGGAAGAUGACAGUACAUGAGAUCGACUCUAAUGAAUGGUUUGCUAUCCAAUCGGACGUCCUAUGCGACAAGUCGAACCCUCCGAAAAAGAGGCACCCAAAGACAACGCAACCCGAUGAAUCAAACAAGCAUAAGGCAACCCGAUCCGACCCCCAGGAGUACGAAAGGAAGCCAGAAUAUUCUGGCACACAAAACUAGAAAAGUCGAUCGAGUCCCCAUGAAGAAGGGCAUACAGAAAACGGGUACGUACCAUAGGUAGAGAAGAGGUAUGGGCAACAGGCCACAGGUUUGUGCACACUAUGCGCAACAAGACCUGACGAUCAGUAGGCAAUGACCCCGUGGCCAUCGCCGUAAGCCCACCGAUAGACGGGGUGUUCAAAAGCGUAGACCGAAUAAGAGUAUCGGCCGGAAUAUAAGCAGGUAAAAUAUAGGGGUACGUCGGAUGGGUAAUCUGAGGUAUACCUAAGGCAUGAACUAUAGCCGAUGGAGUAACUCUAAACAAAUGACCUCUAAGAGUAACCCUAAAGGACGAGCCGUCUAUAUCAUGAAUAUUCGCGUAGAAUUCCUGAACAAGGAGUGGGGGAGGAGGUGAAAGACCAAUAAGAAGGGGCUCCCAACCCCGGGAAACAAAAAUGGCGGCUAUAUCAACAGGAAGUCAGAUAAGAUUACCCCACGCUCCACGAGAACGGGGCGUAAGGAGAACUGAGAAGUGAAGACUUCCUGAACUGUAGCAGAAAUGAAUCUGGAACGACUAUACGACGUCGAACCACUAGCUGGCUGUGCAGAGGAUCGAGAACACUUACGGGCCAUCUGGCAUUCGCAGAGACAAAACUAAUAAGUAAUAUGAAGAAUGCACGUGAUUCGAUGCAAUGUGGAAUGAAACACCACACACACAAAAGAGGCACAAUAGAGAUGCAUCGACAAAUGUGAAUGACCCUAAGCACAAACGAAGUAAGAUGAAGAUAUAGACCAAAAACAUGUGUGAACACACCUAUCAUGGCACGUGAUGACAAAGAACCAACGACGGAAAGGAAAGAAAGAAAUGAGAUGCACAAAAAAAAAAAGGAAACAAAGAGUAAAAUAGGUAAGAAAUUUCAUCGAGCAUGUGGCGUGCAUCACUUUGUCACACAAUUCCAAGCACAUAUGAGAUCCAAUCACCCAUCCAAUCAUAGUCCCUCAAACGAGAAACGACGUACUUUAAAAUGAAACAAACCACACGUCAAACGGAUUAACGGAAUGCAAGAACGAACGAAUUGAAAAUGGAUGAAAAACAUGUAAAUCACAUAGUUCGAAGAAUGAAGAAAUCAACAAUGCAAUGGAAAUCGUGAUGCACAAUGCGGGAAAGAACUCCCAAUGAAACAAGGAAUGUCGAAGCCACUAUUAAUUAAGUAACAAUCAAGCAAGAAUACCAAAGUAAGCCAAACACACGACAAAGAGAAGGAAAACGAAAAAAGAAAAAAAUUACCUCCAUAUGAAGUUUGGCAAAGGAAAUCUGGAAACAAAUAUGUUAUGGACCGUGGAGUGAUAUUAUUAGAGGAAUAUGGGGAUGAAAUAUGGAGGAAAUCACGAAGAAAAACGAAGGAGAAGAGAAAAAGAGAAAAUGCGCGAAAAAAAUGAAACAGGGCCGUUUUAAAAUAGGCCUGUUGCUCGAGCGAGGGUCCAGCGAGACUCGGGCGACAGGCAAACUGCUUUUGUCGCUCGAGCGAAGACCAGGCGAGACUCGAGCGAAAUACCAAAUGUCAAAAAUAGCACCAAAAAUUUGAAUUGUGAGAAAAAUAACAUAAUCUUCAAGAAAUGACGAAAUUAGCCCAAAUCGUGAAAUUUCAAAAAUAAGUGAACUACGUAAUAGUGGAAAAUAAUCCAAAAAAAAUAAUAGCAUGAAAUCACAUAUGCAAUCAAAACCAACAAUAAGCAUAAAAUCACAAACCCGACCUCCAGCAUGUAGUCAAAUCGUUAAUCCACACAUAGUUCAGAAUCCUGUGUAGUAAAGUGUAUACAGAAUAUUACUGUGAAAAGUGCUACGUAGUCCAUGCAAGCUAGACUCAAAACCUUAAAUUAGUGAGAAAGGACACGUGAAAACGACCCGACAACGGUGAAUGUCGACCAAGUGACAGUCAAAUCCAAUUCCACGAGGACCUAUAGCAAAUACUAUGAUUGUCACAAUUUUACUCCCCCUAACUGUAUGAUUCCAAAUUUGUAUUUUUAUCUUUAUUAUUAUUAUUAUUAUUAUUUUUUUUUUUUUCACAAAAGAACCUAAGUGCAAUGCCAUCCCCAUUAGGCAACAUAAAUGACUCCUGUAACGAACUUUGGGCCGGUGACUCCCUAGUCAGACGACCAUAGGGCACCAGGUUAGAAACCCCUCAGGCUUAAUUGUUCGAGUCAAAUAGGCCCCGAAGAUAGCCAUAAGUUCAACAAAGAACAAAAGUAAAACUGGGGAAAGACAAUAUUGAUUAGGUUACACUCGUCCCAGAUCAAGUCAAAUGUACAUACAACCCCAAUCAUAGAAGAACACCAUCCCAAGUCUCACCCAUGCGGUCAAGACUCACUUACAGGACUACAGUGUGUGUUGUGUGAAAAUGAAUGAUGUGCCAUAUACCCAGAACUCCACAUUGAAAAAUGAACAAAGAUGGAUCCUCAGAUUCAUACACAUGUUGAAAAAAUAGAAUUUGAUCUUUAAUGCAAAUGCCAGAAUCAUUACAUAAAUGUUCAAAAAAAAAUUUAUUCUAUUUUAUUUUAUCUGAUUUUUUUUAAAACACACAUAUAACACAUAACAGAAGACUAAACAAAACAAAAGAAAUGCAUCACACACACACAUAUCACACGCAAGAUAUGAAGUGAUGAGGUACAUAUGUGAUGAAUGCAUGAACAUACAUGAAUCCAUGAUCAAAUAGGUGAGCAAACACCAACAGCCGUCCAAAGCGACUCAAACCUCAAUCCAUCUAGUGGUUUCGUAAGUAGAUCAGCCAAUUGAUUAUCAGUAGAGACAUGGUUAAGAGAGACAACAUGUGAUUCAACAAGCUCUCGAAUGAAAUGAUGUCGUAUGUCAAUAUGUUUUGUUCGAGAGUGCUGAAUGGGAUUCUUAGAAAUAUUUAUCGCACUCGUAUUAUCACAGAAAACAGUCAUUGUCCCUUGACUAAUCCCAUAAUCACUAAGCAUUUGUUUCAUCCAGAGAAGCUGAGUACAGCAACUCCCUGCAGCUAUGUAUUCGGCCUCUGCGGUGGAUAAAGAUAUUGAAUUUUGUUUCUUACUUAGCCAGGCUAUGAGAUUGCUACCCAUGUAAAAACAACCCCCAGUCGUACUUUUCAUAUCAUCUGCAUUUCCGGCCCAAUCGGCGUCAGAGUAUCUAGCCAAAUCAAGAUUGGAAUUUCUAGAAUAGAAUAUCCCUAGAUCCACUGUACCACUGAUAUACCUGAUUAUGCGUCUAACAGAGCUUAGGUGUGACUCUUUUGGAUCUGCUUGAAAGCGAGCACACACUCCUACACUAAAGGCAAUGUCAGGCCUAGUAGCUGUGAGAUAGAGAAGACUACCUAUCAUGCUACGAUAUAGGGAAUGAUCUACACUCUUACCAGAAGGAUCACGACCUAACUUUAAGCUAGUACUCAUCGGUGUCCUAGUAUGCUUCUUACUAUCUAACCCAAAUCGCUUAACGAGAUCCUUAUCAUACUUAGACUGUGAGAUAAACAGUCCAUCCUCUGUUUGUCAUACCUGAAGUCCAAGGAAAUAACUUAACUCUCCAACCAUACUCAUCUCGAACUCUCUCUGCAGACACUCAGCAAACUCAAACGCUAAAGACUCAAGAGGAGACCCAAAAAUGAUAUCAUCGACAUAAAUCUGAGCAAUGGUAAAAUUUUCUUCUAUAUGUCUAAUGAAUAAGGUCCUAUCUGCACCACCUCGAGAGAACCCAUGUUCUUCCAGAUAUGAUGUAAGUCUCUCAUACCAAGCUCUAGGAGCUUGCUUCAAACCAUAGAGUGCUUUGUGAAGUUUGUAGACAUAGUGGGGAAAUUUUGGAUCAACAAAUCCCUUAGGUUGUUCCACAUAUACUUCUUCCUGAAGAAGUCCAUUCAAGAAGGCACUCUUAACGUCCAUUUGAUGCAACUUGAAUCCUAAGGUACAUGCAACAGUAAGCAGAAUCCUAAUAGACUCAAGUCGUGCAACGGGGGCAAAAGUCUCAUCAAAAUCAAUCCCCUCAACUUGAGUAUACCCCUGAGCAACUAAUCUCGCCUUAUUCCUAGUUAUAGUACCUUGGUCAUCUGUCUUGUUCUUAAAGAUCCACUUGGUACCAAUAACAUUACAAUUUUCAGGUCUGGGAACUAAGUCCAUGAAAGUCUCUUUAUAAUCGAUGCCUUCUUUCUGUGUAAAGAAUUUUGCGACAAGACGAGCCUUAUACCUCUCUACAUCACCUUUCGAAUCCCUCUUGGUCUUAAAUAUCCAUUUGCAACCAAUGGGUUUCGCACCUUCAGGCAAUGGAACGAGGUCUUAUACGUCAUUGUCCUUCAUGGACUUUAUCUCUUCAUUCAUAGCAUCGAGCCAUUUUUGAGAGUUAGAACUUUCCAUGGCUUGACGGAAGUUGAUCGGAUCAUCUUCCACCAUUCCAAUGUCAACUUCAUGUUCUUGAAGAAAUACGAUGUAAUCAUUCGAAACCGUACUUUUCCUCUCUCUAGUGGAUCUUCUUAAUGGCAUUGGUUCUUGAAGGCGUAGAGUUUGUUCUUCUGGAACAAUUUGUUGAUCUUGAGAGGGAGGUAUGACAUUGUCUUGAUCCAGAGUUGCUUCUUGAACAAUAUCAGGGAUAGAAACAUGAUCAUUGUCAAUGGCAAUUGGAGGAAUUUCAACAUAUUCCUCCUCAAAGACAAAGCCUGUAACCCUUUCUCCCCCCACAAACUCAACAUCCUCAAAGAACCUAGCAUUUUCUGUCUUGAAAAUUGCCUUAGUUGUGGGAUCAUAAAACUUGUAACCCCUGGACCUUUCAGAAUAUCCAAUGAAAUAACAACUGAUGGUCCUUGCGUCCAAUUUCUUUCAUUUGGCUUAUAGGGCAUUGCCUCAGCUAGACACCCCCAAAUAUAUAUAUGCUUCAAACUAGGCUUCUUGCCCGUCCAAAGCUCAUAUGGGGUUUUAUCAGUGGCCUUAGUUGGAACUCUGUUGAGUAUAUAAGCUGCAGUCUUUAGUGCUUCACCCCAGAGAGAUUCUGGUAAGGUAGAAUGACUAAUCAUACUCCUCACCAUGUCCUUAAGCGUUCUGUUUCGUCUUUCAGCAACACCAUUCAUAGUUGGCGAACCCGGCAUAGUGUACUAUGGGACGAUACCGCAUUCCUCUAAGAAUUUAGCAAACGGUCUUGGACGCUGUUCACCUAAACCGUCAUAUCUGCCAUAGUAUUCACCCCCACGGUCAGAUCUGACGCUUUUAAUCCUUUUGCCGAGUUGGUUCUCAAUUUCAGCUUUAUAGUUUUUGAACACAUCCAGUGAUUGUGAUUUUUCAUGAAUGAGAUAUAUGUAGCCAUAUCUUGAAAAGUCGUCUAUGAACGUUAUAAAAUAUUGUUGACCAUUCCAAGAACCCGUAGGGAAUGGUCCACAAAUAUCCGUAUGUAUAAGUUCUAAGACGUCCGAAAUCCUAUUAGCUUGAAAUCUCCUUUUAUUGGUUUGUUUUCCCUUUAUACAGUUGACACACAAAUCAUAAUCUGUGAAGUCAAGAGGGUCGAGAAUCCCGUCAGACACAAGUCUCUCAAUUCUCUUUUUGGAGAUGUGACCUAAUCUCUUGUGCCACAACAAGGCAGAAUUCUCGUCGUUUAAUUUUCGCUUUACACCUCUAGUACUUACAUGCAAGGUUUCAUUAUAAGAAGUAAUUGUAUCAAUUGAAUAAAGAUUAUUGUAACCUGAUAAAGAACCGGAACCAACCAAUUUUGAAUCAUGAAACAAACUAAAUUUUCCAUUUCCAAAAAAACAAGUAUAACCAAAUUUGUCCAAAAUAGAAAUAGAAAUCAAAUUCCGUCUAAAAGACGGUACAAUAAAUGUCUCAAUAAGAUCUAAAUAAAAUUCAGUCUUUAACAAUAAUCUAAAUUUUCCUAUUGCCUCUACUUCCAUUCUAUUGCCGUCGCCAGCAUAGAUGUAUCUUUCACCAUCACUUGGUUUUCGGCAACUCAGGCAACUCUGCAUAGACAUACUGAUGUGAGUUGUUGCACCAGAAUCUAUCCACCAUGUAUGUCUAGGUACCGAAGUUAAAUUAACCUCAAAACAAACCAAAUGAAGAAGAGUACCUUUCUUUACACGCCAUGCGUGGUAAUUGGUUCCUUAUGCAGCUCCACAGAAGAAACAACCACCUUCAGUUGGUUCCUUAUGCUGUUUCUUUUGCGGUGCCGUACCUGCAGCUUUCUUAUUAAUCUUCCUUUUCUUGUUGCUUUUGUCCUUAGAAGUGGUGGCUAAAUAAGCAAUUUCUGUCUUUUCAUGCUUCAGUCUUUCCUCUUCCUGGACACAGUGUGAGAUGAGCUCAUUAAGGGACCAUGAGUCCUUUUGACAGUUAUAGCUCACCUUGAAUUGACUGAAAUGUACCUGAAGGGAUAUCAGAACCAAGUGCACUAACAAGUCUUUAGAUAAAUCCAACUUGAGUGCCUUUAGUUUUGAAGCAAUGUGAGACAUUUUCAUAAUGUACUCCCAAAUGUUUCCUUUCCCUUUAUACCUCAUUGAGACAAGAUUUACCAAAAGUGUACUUGUUUCUGCCUUUUCAUUUUUGGCAAACCUCUUCUCAAGGUCCUCAAGGAAACCCUUAGCCGUAGUCACCUUAUCGGAUAUAGUGCCCCGGAAUGCUUCUGGAAUAGAACGCUUCAUGACCAUUAAGCUUAUGUGGUUCGAUUGUUCCCACUUUUCCAUCUCCCUCUUGUCAUCAGAGGUACUCUUAUCAGUAAGUGCAGCAGGUUGAUCGACCCGUAAAGCAAGGUCUAGGUCCAUGACUCCGAGAACAAUCAUAACGUUCUCUUGCCAUGCCCUGAAGUUUGUACCAUUUAACAUUGGAAUUGAAUUGAUGCUAGCAGAAAUAUUAGCAGCAGAACCUCAAAUUGAAUUAGAGAACAUUUAUUAUGAAUAGCUCACAUGAAUAUCUUUAAUAUGCAAAUAAUAAUAAUAAUAAUAAUCUCAAAUAGUGGUAGGGCCCAUCACAAGAUACUAAGCACAACAUUAAUAUCCAGUCUUUGGACGGAGAUAUUGACUUGUAAGCGGUACUCUUGGCGUAGUGAUCAAACAUUGACGAUAAAACAACGUAUCAAUCAAUAAACCUUUCUUUGGACCGAUUUAUUGAUCACACAUUAAACCAAAUAAUCGUCACACGUUUAUCACCACAGGUGCAUGUGUAUUCGGCUAAAUAUUGACCUUUCUUUGGGCCGACCAAUAUUCCUAUGAAUAACACGUGCACAAACACUUUUUAACAUUCUAAGUUAGUCAAUUUUCACAAGAGAGGUUGCUUUGGCAACAUGUUGCUUCAAUUAACUAACUUUCGAAUAUUAUAUCUCUUUAAAAGAGUCUUUAAUACCAAAAUUUGAGAAAGAGAAUCACCAAUUUUGCAUAUUUUGUUUAGUUUUAAACUUUAGGGGCCUUAGGAUUAAUAAUUCAAAACUUUAAGGGGGCAAAAUUAAUUAAUUUCAAACUUUAGGGGUCGAAAUUAAUAAACUUAAAACUUUAUGGAUAAUAAUUAAUUAAUUCAAUACUUUAGAGGAUCAAUUAGAACAAUUUUAAAACUUCAGGGGCCAAAAUUGACCAAUUCAAAACUUUAGGGAUCAAUUUGAAUUAAUUGUGAACUUGGGGGCCAAUUUGAAUUAAUAAUUAAAUUUUGAAUUCUUUAAUUAUAAUUUCAGAACUUUGAUGGCCCGAAUUAAUUAAUUUUAAAACUUUAGGGACUGAAUUAUUAAAUUCGAAACUUAAAGGCCCAAAUCUCAAUAUAACUUAAAGGUUAGGGACUGAAAACUUAAUUUUAUAACCCUAACCCUAAUUGCAACUAAGGACCUCAAUUCUUCUAAUUUACAGGAGAGGCCCCCGCCUCCAAAAAUCAAAAACUGAAAAAACCUAAAAAAAAAAAAAAAUUUCUCUUUCUUUCCUUCUGGCGGCGACGCACUCUGGCGCCGCUCGGACUAACGUCGCUGGCAUGAGCCGGCUCCUGUAGCACACCCAGCGCUACUGUGAGUGCAGCAGCGCCUACUGCGCGCUUCUGCCUGCGCAGCGCACAGCGCUCCGACUGCCGCUGUCCGACUAAAUUUUUUUUUUUAAUCUGAAUCUCAAAAAUUUCGAAUUCCAAAUCUGAAUUUUCUAAACUAAUUAAUCCGAACGAAAAUAACAAGAAUUAUACCGCAAAAAUUUUCACAUUUAACAAAAUAUAUAACCAAAAAUUGUUAAAUCUGAAAAUUUCAAAAUAUAUUGCAAGAACCAAAUUAAAACCUUUGAUUCUCAAUGAUUCAACAUGAAGAGGCUCUAAUACCACUUGUUGGAUAAUUUAAUGCUUUAAAUUAUUGGAUCUUUCAUGUUAAAUCAUCGAGAAAUAUAAGAAUUAAAGCGGAAGCAUACCUGAAUCUGACAUGGUUAAUGCAAUAUGAAUUUCGCGGUAUGAUCUUCCAAAUCUACAUGCAGUCUCCUUUUCCUCUCUGUGAUAGGAUGCAGUAGAAAAUGAAUAAUACGUUGCAUGUGAUCUGGGGACCAUAACCUAUUUAUAUAGGGAUGCCCUUUGACCUAAUUUGGCCCACCAUAGAAUUAGGACUUGGGCCCAGUCUCUACACAUAUGUAAACCCAUACUUUAAUUUGAUACAUUAAAGUCCAAAAUCGAAACUUUAUUAGAUCACUUUAAUUGGGCUCAACCGAAUUCGAUAGCCUAUAAUUUAACACACAAUUAUUUACACAUAUAAGCCCAUCUUUAAUUAAAAAUUCUUACACGUAUUCAACCUAAAAAGCUCAAUUUGACUAUUUCUUGACCAAAUUUUAAAGGGCAAAAUUAUAAUUUUAUAUUUCUUCAAUAAAUUAAAAAAAAUACUAAGUAAAUAAAAUAGGAUUUUAACUAUUCAUCUUCUUCACAGAGCUCUCACCCAGCCCAGACCACCAAAGGAUUUUAUGUUUACUUGUAUGACCAUAAAAAUGAGUAAAUACAUGUUCUCAUUAUAUCUGAACAACACAAUCCAUACAAAGCUCUCAUUAUAUCUGAACAACACAAUCCAUACAAAGUUCGCACUAUAAUGAUCAACAUUUGUGUCUCAUGAGUAACUUCAGUAGGAACGAUGUUAACUCAAAUUCUAUUAAAUUCCUCCAGAUGAUAUAACAAACUAUGUAUCUAAUCUUGGUUAUACUCGUUCAAAUCUUCUACAACUUUUCAAAAUAUUAUUGAUGAGUUAUAGAGGCAAAUGAGAGCUCAUGCUCUAAAAUUGCAUGCAACCAUUUUAAAUUAUUGUCGUUUUACCUAAUACCAUGUGCAUUUGGCUUAUAUUAUCUCAUGUGAUCAUAAAAAUGAAUGAAGACACAUUCUAACUACCUUUUGACAUCACGAUUGAUACAAAGUUCGCCUAUGAUGACCAACAUGUGAGCCUCAUAAGUAAUUUCACUACACUAGGAAUCACGAUUGAUACAAAGUUCACCUAUAAUGACCAACAUGUGAGUCUCAUAAGUAAUUUCACUACACUAGGAAUGAAGUGAACUAAUAUUCUAGUAAUCCCUCUAGAUGAGAUAACAAAACUUAGCACCUUAUCUAAACUCAUCUAGAUGGCCGGUAAUGUUUGGAGUGAAAUCAGUAUUUCUUGUACAAAAAACACAUUUUUCCUUUUUUUUAACGGUCAGAUGCUGCUUUCACCAAAAUUACUUCUUUUUGUUUUUAUAUCCACUCUAAUGACAAUCAAAGUCAUAGAAAUAUAUUCAUAUUACAUAUAGAGACCAUAUAUGAUUCAAAGUUGUUAUGAACUUAGAGAUCAAUAUAGUGACAAGUGAGUAAGUAUUCCUGCCCUAACUAUGAAGUUAACUCAAACUUAAUUUAAUUCAUUAAUACAAAAAGUGUCAUUUUCACCAAUUUCACUAACUCUUUUAACAUUGUAACAAAAUAAUAAUGCGUCUUUAAAGAUGAAUUAAUAGAAAAUAAUGUUAUAGAUAAAAAAUUAUUGUUAACAAAUUAAACAACCCAUAAUAUUUUAUAACACCAAACAAGCAAUACCUCGUUCGCCUAAUCCUAGCAUGGAUAUUAAUAUAACGCAUUGCCCCCCGGUGCAUAGUCCAGUGGUGCAAAGGACAUGAGUGAAGUUAUCUCACGUCUUGCUGGUAGCUACAGUGUGGGGGUUCGAUUCCUGAGACAUGGAAUUGGACUCUUAUAGGCGCAGUGUACAGACAGCUCUUGUUCCCUGGCCUGCUGAGGCACAUCCUGCGAUUUACCUCCCUCACAAAGCUCUGGGGCGGGGCGGUGGGAGCCCUCAAGGUUGGGGUUCAACCUUUUUUUUUUUUUAAUAUAACGCAUGGAUUUAAAAUGUUGAAAUGAUGUUUUGAUACCUUGUGGAGCAACUAUGCAAACCAGGUAUUACAGAGGCUAGGUCUGACAUAGAGUAUGAGUCUCUAAAAGAUAGGAAACUUGAUAAAGCUAUGAUGUAGAGGUGAGGUUCUAGGCUAGAGGACGAGGCUCAAAAAGAUAGGAAACUUGAUGAAGCUGUGAUGUAGAGGCGAUGUCGUACCAUGGAAGAUGGGGAUCUGAAGGUAGGCAACUUGACGAAGAUGUAAGGCAAAGGCGAUGUGGCGUGAAAAAUGGAAUGUUGUAGCGUAGGUGAUUUGAAACCCUGAGAUGACCAGACAUUGAUUGAAAGGUGUUGUGUGUUUUCAAGAAAAUAAAUCGAGGCUCACGUGCAAGUUCAAGGCCAUGUGACCAGACAUAUAUUUAAGAUAUACUGCUUCAUCUAGACCUUUGCCUCAUCCGAACCUUUGAUUAGCUUUAAUCUUUCAUUUGAAUUGCUUGAAUGAGCUGAUGAAUGGAUGGCUAAGAUCAAUUUUGAUUUUAUCCAACAGUUGAAGUGCACAGGCCUUUCCCUUUCAUUUGCAAUUUCUUUACUCUACAAAAAAUUCAAAAUCGUAAUUUCAGCAAGAAAUUUCAAUUUUCUAACGACAUUCAUCAUCUUUAGUAGGUCUCUUACUAUAAAAGCCUUUUUCUAGUUAAAUUUGUUGGAAAAAUGAGUUGAGUAGCUGAAUUUGGUAGAAAAUUUGUGUGGGACCCGAUUGUUUAUUUUUGAAGAUCAAGAUUGAUUUGUGUUCUCCUUCGUGAGAACAUUAAAAUUAUAUAUUUACUUGUCAAAAUGAUGUUCGGGUAAAUGAGAAAUUGAAGCUCAAAGUAUACCAAUUGAAAGGAGUUUAUAUGUUGGAGAGAAACCAAUUAAGGUUUGUCCCACAUAGGAAAGUAAUGAAGGCAAAUACCACCUAUAUAGGAUUACACUUUGAAAGAGUGUAAUCAUGAGUAGUAUAGAGACUCUCUCCACGUGCAUGCGCAAGAGGGUGCAAAUCAUGGACCGAAAUAUGUUUCGGACCUUGAACUUGUGUGCGAGCUUGGCCUGGACACAUGAAUGUCGGACCGAAAGGACUGUAAUUGGCCUCUUUGGAGGGCCUACGUUUUGCUAAUUUUUUUCCUCAAUUGACCUUUUAAAUUUUAAAAUUGUUGAAACUCCAAUAAUUAUUGUCAUUAUAAUACAAGUUAAUGACAUACUUACGAACAUAAUUAACUUUACAUUUAUAGGGGUUAAGUCUAUAUAUGAGAGCACAUUUUUUCACUAUUCCACACAAAAAAAUACAGUUUCUGCAUAGUUUCUUCUAGUCUGCAUACUGCAUAGAUAUACAGUUCCUCGUCUAUUCGGAUUUUUUUUCUGUUUUGAUGAUAUUGUUCCGACACAAGUUCUGUUUGCCUGAGUGGUAUUUGAGAUACUCAAAUUCUACCACUCCUUUGUUGUAUCCUAGGACAGACGUCCGAACUAAAUCUCAAGCAAUUAUAGUGAGGAAGCGAAUCUGUUUUAAGAAAAUUGUGUUCAGAUAGAUCUCGUUUUCAAAUUUUAUUUGAUUUUUUCAUUACUUGCUUUAUUGUCAUUUAGAUUAACUCGUUCUACUUUAUUGUAAUUAACAAAAUUAUUUAAUCCGAAAGGACUCAAAUUGGCCCCUUUAGAGGGCCUACGUUUUGUCAAUUUGUUCUCCAACAGACAUCUUAAAUUUCAAAACUGUUGAAACUCCAAUAAUUAUUGUUAUUAUAAUACAAGUGAAUGGCAUACUUACGGACAUAAUUAACUUACCAUUUAUAGGGGUUAAGUCUGUAUAUGAGAACCCAUUUUUUCACCAUUCUACACAAAAAGCAAUACAGUUUCUGCAUAGUUUCUUUUGGUCUGCAUACUGCAUAGAUAUACAGUUCCUUGUCUAUUUGGAAUUAUUAUUAUUAUUAUUUUGUGAUAUUGUUUUGACUCAAGUUCUGUUUGCCUGAAUGGUAUUUGAGAAACUCAAAUUCUACCAUUCCUUUGUUGUAUCCUAGGAUAGAUGUCCAAACUAAACCUCAAGCACCUAUAGUGAGGGAGCAAAUCUGUUUUAAGAAAAUUGUGUUCACAUAGAUCUCGUUUUCAAAUUUCAUUUGAUUUUUUUUAUUACUUUCUUUAUUGUAAUUUAGAUUAACUUGUUCUACUUUAUUGUAAUUAACAAGAUUAUUUAAUUUGCUAAAUGUUAGCUAAUAUCCGGUAUCUAUGUUCAUUGCAUACUUGGUAUGUGCAAAUUUAGUAUUUCUGUAAACUGCAAAUCCGGUAUAUGUCUAUCCAGUAUUUGUUACAGUCACUAAUAGUUUCUCUAACAAGAUCUUAGUUUCAUUUUUAUUUUCUUCAUCCCUUUUGUUGGUUUUCUUCUUUAAAACAAGCACUAAUGAUGUUUGGGACUAUGAGAGGUUCUUUAGGCGGGAUGAAUGGAGAUGGAUUAGGUAUGGGCACUUCUAGUAUUAGGGAACCAAUUGUCCUCACCUUGAUUGAGAUUUUUUUGCAUCCUUUAGGUCGAGGGUGAAUACUUGGACCACUACUAAAAAAUAGAGUUUCAGGUACGGAUUUUCCGUUCCUAAAGCCUCAAUAUCCGUUGCUAAUAAUAUUCACCAAUGGAAUAUUUACAACCACAGAUCCAUUGGUAAUUUGAGGGUCGCUGAUAGUUACCAAUGGAUCAUGUCGUAGGUAAAGAGUAAACAUUUUACCAACGGAUUUUUCGUUGGUAAAGUGUGAAUCUUUUACUAAAUGAAUUUUCGUUGGUAAAAGUCUUAACCAAUACCAACCGACUUUCCGUUGGUAAAUGUCUACCAUUACAAUUGGUAAAAAUCAAUGUUGUAAAUAACCAUAUGGUAAAAAAAUUAUUUAUUUAUUUUUUAUUAUUGUUAUUAUUAUUAUUAUUAUUUAUUUAUUUAAUAAUUAUAAUUUUUAUUUUUUUUGCCAACUGAAUUGAAAGGUCAAAAUAUUGUUUAACUCUUUAUUGGACCACAAAUUUAUAGAGGGCAAAUACAAAGAUAUUGUUGUAAACUUCCGAUGUGGGAUAAGUGAAUUAUUUUACCAACAGAUAAUUCAUUUCUAAUUACCAACAGAAUAUCCGUUGCUGAAAGAUCAAAUUGUUAAACAGUUAUAUUAGGCACGAAAUAUCCGUUAGUAAAGAGAUAUCAUUUUUACUAACGGAUAAUCCGUUUCUAAUUACCAACGGAAUAUCCGUAGGUAAAAGAUCAAAAUGUUAAAUGAUUAUAUUAGGUACGGAAUAUCCGUUGGUACAAAGAUAUCAUCUUUACCAACGGAAAAUCCGUUGCUAAUUAUCGUAGUUAAAAGUGAAUUACUUUUACCAACAGAUAAUCCGUUUCUAAUUACCAACGGAAUAUCCGUAGGUAAAAGAUCAAAAUGUUAAAUGAUUAUAUUAGGUACGGAAUAUCCGUUGGUACAAAGAUAUCAUCUUUACCAACGAAAAAUUCGUUUCUGAUUAUUGUAGCUAAAAGUAAAUUAAUUUUACCAACGGAUUAUCCAUUUCUAAUUACCAACGGAUGCAAUCCGUUGGUAAUAAUAUCCGUUGGAGGAAGAGCCAAAUGUUAAAUGAUUACAUUAGGCACGGAAUAUCGGUUGGUAAAGAGAUAUCAUCUUACCAACGGAAAAUUCGUUGCUAAUUGUCGUAGCUAAAAGCGAAUUACUUUUACCAACAGAUAAUCCAUUUCUAAUCACCAACGGAUGCAAUUUGUUGGUAAUUUUUCGUAGGUGAAAAACUGUAUUUUAGUAGUGGACACUUUCCAUCGAGCCUAUAAACACCUCAAUUAAAUGAAAAUCCUCAAAAUUUCCUUCUACCAUGACUCCAGCCAAAAUUUAGACCAUUAAGGAACAGUUUAGAAUAUCUGAUAGCAUAUGGUUAAUUGUCCUCGAGAUUUAUGAACUAACAUAUUAUUCGAGGCUAGGGUACGUAGCUAUUAGCGAGGCCAUUCUAAAAGUCGCCCUUAGUUUACCUAUCCAUCGACCAUACUCAACUCGAACUCCUGGAGUCAAAUUGUUGGAUGGUGGAUGCUUUGGCACGAGGCGAUGCUAGUGAUGACAUGCCGUUCAAUGUCUUCCAACCGUCUACAAUCCUAAAGCCACUAACUUCUUGGAGGAUGCAGACCCCCUUUUUGUUUUAGGUCUUUCAUCCUCCAUUGAAGGGUAGAAAGAGUCUUGGUUUUGGAUCUCAAGUUAUUGGGAUAUAAUGGAAGGAGAUCGUACGACGUCUUUCACCAUCUCCACAACCUACUCCACACCUAGUUAGUCUUCAGAUUUGCAAGCUAUGCCUUAUUGUUUUCAUUUCUUAUACUUAACAUUUUUCUCCUUUGUUUGGAGGUACAUUGCCUCAGUUUGCAAUUUCAGAGGAACAUUGGAAUACUGUCUCCAUCAUGUGAAUAAAAAGAAAAUGACUGGGGCAUUUGGCUUCUUCUUUGGCCCCACUUUUUAGUUAGGGCACCUCCCCAACCUCUACCAUAGUGCCCCUUAGGGUAAGAUUAUCUGCAUUAGCUCCUCCUACUCAAAUUACUCCAUAGAAAUCGAAGGUAAAUGAGGCUACACCUCCCAAGUUGUAAGGAAAAAGACCUGCUAGCCCACCUUAGAGCAAAAAAGUCAAUAAUAUUGCGUAAUUAGUUUCUAUUUCAAAACUAGCACCGUUAGGUUUAAAAUUUGCAUUUGAAAAUAGAAGUUUUAGUUUAUUUCAAAAUUCAGUUAUUGUUGGAGAUGAUGUUUUAGUUGGUACUUUAUACAAACUUGAUUUGGAUCCCACUUAUGAAUGUAUCUUUUUCAACCUGAAUAGUAGUAAUAUUGACAAUAAACGUUGUAUGAUAAGAAGAAUUCAUCUGAAGUAUGGUAUAAAAGAUCGGGACAUAUCUCUAUAGAGACCUCAAAAGAUAAGUAAAUGAUGGAAUUUUACCGACUCCUGACUUUGCUGAUUCUGAAACUUGUAUUGAUUGUAUAAAGGGAAAGCUGACAAACAAGGCCACUAAUAGUGCCAAAAAUAGUUCAAACAUUCUUGAGAUUAUUCAAAUAGAUAUUUGUAGACAUUUUUUCACUCCUCGUCUAAAUGGUCAGAGAUAUUUUAUUGUAUUUAUAGACGACCAUUCAAGAUAUAUGUAUCUCUAUCUUCUAAAUCAUAUGGAUGAUGCACUAGAUGCCUUGAAGGUUUAUAACAUAGAAGCAAAGAAACAAAAUGAAAGAAAAUUUAAAAUUAUAAGUUCAGAGAGGGUGGAGAAUAUUAUGGACAGUACAAAAAUAAAGUGACAAAUGCCAACUCCAUUUGCUAAAUUUUAUACAACAAUAGAGGAUGUUAGGUACGCUGCAACAAAAAUGAUGUAGCCGAAAGAAAUUAAAAAAUAAAUAAAUAAUGGACAUGAUUAUGAGCAUGAUGAGACAUUCAACUCUAGUUAUAUUUAUUGAGUGAAGCAUUGUAAAUUGUCGUGUAUAUCUUAAAUAGAUUUCUAUCUGAGGCAAUUCCUAAAACACCAUUGGUAAGUUGGAACAAAUGAAAACCUAGUUUGAGAUAUAUAUAAAUCUGGGGUUGUCUGGUUGAAGUGGGGGUCCAUAAUCCUCACAUAAAGAAAUUGAACCCGUUGACAGUUGGUGGAUAUUUCAUAGGCUAUCUAGUGAACCCUAAAUGCUAUAGAUUCUAUUGUCCUUCGCACACUCCAAAAAUAGUCAAAGCUAGAAAUGUAAAGUUUCUAGAAUAUCACGUUGUGAGUGUGAGUGCGUUUUCUAUAAAUAUUGCUUUUCAAGAAAUUAGCGAAUUUGUUAGGUCAUUUUCCAAUCAUGGUAUAUUGAUUCUUACAAAAUAAAGCACUCAUGUAAAACUGGAAAAUGAAUCAACUAAAGAACAAUCAUUACUACAUGAGAAAAACACUGAACGAGAAUCACCACUCAAUGUAGAACAUGCAAAAGCUAUUACUAUUCAGAAUAUGCAAAAUCAAAAUAAUGUGGUAGGUAUAAAGAUAUCCUCAAGAAUAAGAAAAUUAGUAAUCUAUAGUUAUUAUGUCGAAUAUCUUCAAGAGUCCAAUAAUAUGUUGGACAGUACAAUGAUCCUAGCUCAUUAUCACAAGUUGUUGAAGGAAAAAACUCAAUCUUUUGUAUGAUGCCAUGAAGGAAUAGAUAAAAUCUAUAGCUAAAAAGCAUGUUUGGGAUCUCGUUGAUUUGUCAAAUGAACUUACAACCGUUGGUUGUAUAUGGGUCUAUAAGACCAAAAGAAAUGCAUCUGGCGCUAUACAACAGUAUAAAACUAGACUUGUAGCAAAUGUUUCACUCAAACGGAAGGAAUUGAUUACCAUAAAACAUUUUCUUCAACUUCUAAAAAAGAUUUGUUUACAAUUUUAAUAGUUUUAGUAGCUCAUUUUGAUCUAAAGCUACAUCAGAUGGACAUGAAAUUAACAUUCUUGAAUGAUGAUCUUAAAGAAGAGAUACAAAUGAAACAACAUGGAGGCUUUAAUAGCGAUGAAGGAAUCAAAUGAUUUACAAAUUAAGAAAAUCUAUAUAGGACCUAAAACAGGCAUCCCAUAAGUAGUGCUUGAAGUUAACCAUUUUGUUACUUCAGAUGGUUUUACAGAAAAUAUCAUUGACCAAUGCAUGUAUCUCAAAGUUAGUGGGAGUACAUACAUUUUUACACUCCUAUAUGUAGAAGACAUUUUACUUGCAAGCAGUGAUAUCGAUUUGCUAUAUGACACAAAACAGUUUGUUAGCCAAAAUUUUGAAAUGAAUGGUAUGGGUAAAGCCUCUUAUAUCAUUAACAUAGAGAUUCAUAGAGAUAUGUCUAAAUGGUCAUUAAGAUUGUCUCAUAAAGUAUACAAUGAAAAGAUUUUGAAAAGAUAGGGGAUAAAGGAUCGUGUAUCAUGUUGUUAAAAGUGAUAAAUUAAACCAAAAAUAGUGUACAUUAAAUGAAUUGGAAAGAGAGUACAUUGCUUCUAUACCCAAUGCUUCCACUGUCGGUAGCUUGAUGUAUGUACAAGUUUGUAAUAGACAUGACAUUAUAUUUGCAGUUGCUAUAAGGAUAGAUAUCAAAGUAAUCUAGGUAUAGAGCAAUAGAGAGCUGCCAAGAAAGUGAAAAGGUAUCUUCAAAGAACCAAAGACUAAAUUUUGUUGAAUGUGUAGACACAAGAUAGUCUAUUUUUCUUUUAGAUGGAGGAGAUGUAUCUUGGAGAAGCCUGAUUGCUACCCUCCUUCACAGCAUCACAACUUGAGACAAUUUGAGCCAGAAGUUCUUCAAUAAAUAUUUCCCACAAAAAAUGAUUGCCAAGUUUAGAGAUGAGAUCACUACAUUCUCACAACUUAAUUCAGAGUGCCAUUAUGAGGUAUGAAAACAAUAAAAAUGUUUGCUUCGAAAAUGUCCACAAAAAGGGUUGCAAAAAUGGCUAUAACUCUAGCACUUUUAAAAUAUCCUGACUCCGACUAGUACGAUAACGUUGACUUUGCAUGUGAUGGAUCAAUUAAAAGAAAGAUAGUGGAUCAGGUAUAUCAAAUCAGGGAAGAUCUAGCAUAUGCCAAUGCUCUAUGGUCAGCAGAAAGAUCGGGUGGAAAAAGAGCUACAAGAAUGCAUAAGGUUGACUCAAUGUUUGCCAUGGGCAGAUUUAGGGAUGAGCUGUACUUUGCUGCAUCCUACUGUUGCCCAGGCCCAAUACACUUUUUUUUUUUUUUUUUGCCUUAUGUUAAUUGUAAUCGGUUUGCCCACCAAUUAUUAAUUUCAAUGUGCUAGCCCACCUGCAAUUCCUCAAAUGAUUUUUUUGUUUCGAUCUUUGGCCCACUUAUUUAUAUAAUUUUAGGCCCAAUUUUUUACCACAAACUUAUUUAAUUUUUAUCAAUAGAUUCAAUACCCAUUUUUUCCCAUCUUUCUUCACGUAAUCACGUUUCCUUGCAAAACCAAUUGGAAUAAUUUUUUCAACUUUGGGGUUUAUUUUUGUUAUUCAAAAAAUGGGUUCUUAGUUUUUUGGGAUUUUAUUGUUUAAUUGGUUUGUAGGUGAGUCAUACCGUGCUACUUGCUAAGAAGAGGAUUCAAAAGCUGUUAAACUAGUUGAGGAGGUUCAAGGUUGGUUUCCUGAUUUUGGAUGAAAAAUCUCAAUUCAUAGCAAACAAUAAAUUGGUUUAAAGAUUUUAACUUACUAGUUAUUGCUACAAAACAUAAAGUAACUACUUUUUUGCAACACAUUUUGAUUCUCGAUAUAUUUAAUAUCAUCAAGUCAUUCUGGAGUGAUAGCGAGGAUGCUUCUUGCAAAUGAAAAGCACGCAACAUAGCAAAACCAAUAUUUGCUUUUUCUGUCAUAGAUUUUAAACUGCUAAUUUUUCGAAGUAGUUAAAUCGAUAUAGAAGGGAGAAAAAAGGAAUGGAUGAAAAACGAACAGUCAAUAACAAGAAUUUGCAGCAGAAUAAAUUUUAUGAUGUGGUUAGAAAAAAAAAUAUAAUCAUGUAACCAUAAUCUAAAACAAUGUCAAAAUGAUUAAAGUUUUUCAUUUUUUAUUUUUUAUUUUUAUUUUUAUUUUUGAUAAUUCAAUUGAUAACUCUGAAGAUAUACAUACAAAGGGCAGAUUUAGGACGAUCAGAGGUGACCAUAAAAUAAUAUGCACUGAUAGCUAUACAAUCUAUAGCACUCCCCAUAUCAUGCUAGAUAUAAUUACAAAAUCCAUAUCCAAAUAUAAUUAAUUGACUUAUCUUAACAUAUUCAAACAUUUUUAAGGCAUUCGGUGGAUUGAUACAUGUAAGUUGAAAGACUUCCAUAGCACGCGACAUUGGUACCUAAUAAAUAGGCACUCAAGUCAAAAUGUGCUCUCUAGUGGGUUUUAUCACAACUCAUUAAUACUGUUUAGGUGUCUUUAUUUUUGCUUAAAAUAAAACUCAUAUCUAAAUCUGCACAAUAAUUUUAAAUCCUACUGAGUUCACUCCGUGCAACAAAGAUUUUGAAUCUUAACAAUAUCUAUUUUUUAUUUGUCUCAUCAGCCGUUUAGUUAGAGUCUCUACCAGAUUACAUUGGUUAGAAAAUUUUCUACAUGGUGCCUACUUUGCUAAUGCGAAUUUAUUUAUUUAUUAUUUAGGCAUUAGAUAUGCUUGCGUGAAAAAAUUUAUGGCAUUAGCAAACCAUUUAACGUCUGCGAAUUCCUCACCGAUGUAAUCAAUGCGAGACUCUUUCUAGUUCAUGUGGUGAAAAAAUAAAAGACGUUGUGAAGAAGUCCAUCCAUAUCUAGGAGCCCGAUAAUAUUGUAGUCACACCUUUGGCCUUUCUUUCAAUUAUUGUCAACUUUCCUAUAAUAAAUCAGACAGCAAUUUUGUCUAAAGAAAGAAUGGAAACUAUGCACAUAUAAAUCUUUACAGUCAUAUUUAUCACCAAAAGUUUCAAUCCAUUUUAUUCUUUAAAUUGUUUGGAAGUUAUCUGUGUUUGUGAACACGACAGAUAUAAAGUUAGCAUUAAUUUGGUUGCUUGUCAGCGGCCAGCUUCAGCAAUAUUAUUUUAAUAAGUCUUUUAAAAGGGUUAAUGUCCAAAUCAUACAAUUAGAAAAUCAAUUAAAAUGAUUUCCAGAAAAUCUCGUUGUCUUAAUUUUUAAUACAUUUUAUUGUUUAAAUGGAUUACUAUUCAACAAAGAACAUAAAUGUCACAUUUUCACGUGUUAGCAUUUCAAAAGCUUGUUGAAAAAUGAAAUUUAUUAAUUUUUAAUAUCUUUGGAUAUUUAACUUGAGAACACUAACGUGCGAAGGAAUCUAUUUUACAAAUUUCCAUAUAUAUGUAUUAUUAAAUGACUUCAUCAUAUAAUUUAAAAUUUGAAGUCUUUCUUAACUAUAUUAAUUAAUCAUUAAUUAUUUUACAUAUUACAAUCGGAAAGGAUGUGGACGUUGACUUCACACAAAUUGUAUUUGGGAGUCAACUAGUCAUGUGCUAUUAAUUAAUUAUAAUCUAAACAAUUAAUUAUAGCCUGUUUGGUAAGUGAGGUUCAGGAGGGAAAAAAACGUAAAAAAGAAAGUAGCCAAUGACUUGAAUACAUCUAUAAAUUAACCCAACUAGCUAAAAGCAAAUUAAUCCGGAGUUGCUUGAAAAAAUGAGUCUCAAAUUUUGAAUCUUUCUCAUGUUCCAUCGACUAAUUUAAAGUUUUCAGAUAUAUAUUUGUUUAAUGGGUUUGAUUACAAGAUUUUUAAGUAUUCAAGGGGAUAAGUGUAGUUUAUACACUUAUUAGGACCUAAAAAUAUAGACAUUUAAUAGUGCUUUUGAUUAAUUACAACCUAAUUUAUUGUAUAUUUCUUUUAUUAGGUGAAAUUCGAUGAUCGAAAGUGAAAUUAAAAUACAGAAGUGAAAAAAAUGCAAAAAAUGGUGAAAUUCAAAGUUUGAGAACUCGGUUGCAAUUUUUCAAUAGUUUAUUUGAACCACAAAACGAUAAUUGAAGUUUGCUAGAAGUCAAUUAGAUACAAUUAAGAGUAAAAAAUGAGUGAAAAUAUAAUCAAAGUAUUUUCACAAAUCAAAUUUUGACCGCACAACUGAUGUUUUAGAUCUUUAGUUGGAGACUAAGACCCAUUUUUAGAAUAGUAAACGAUCGAAUUGGGAACAUAAAAUCAAAGUUUUCCUUUAUCUUAAAUUGUAGCCCAAAUACAAGAUAAAUUCCCAAAAGCUAUAUUUUGAAUAGCAUUUAGUGUUGAUGAAAUGUUAUUUGUAGUAAAGUUGUAGUCAUUUGAGUGGUCUCUCCAAUGCAUUUUGAAUCAAACCCUCCGAUCUUGAUUUUAUUGUCACUUCACUAUUGUAAUCGGCUGCAACCACCACUUGGUUCAAGAUUCACCAAUCUUUACUCACACGCACAAGUGUUUUCAAUUAUGGUUGAAGAACACGGGUUAUACUUUGAGAAACUUCACUAGAACAUUAGGCAAUCAGGACUCAUUGGAAUGGUCACAAGACUUUAAAACUUGAUGCUGCAGGUUUAUUGAAAAUAGAGAUUAUUCUUAAAGCAGUAGUUUGUACCUUUAUAAUUUUCUCUACUUAUGUAGAGACUUCUCCAAGGCACGAACAUAUCUUACCUAUAAUAUGGGAUUUAUAUACGGUAACAAUCAAGUAGCUUAUGGUUGAUAUGGUCAAUAAUUAAACUAAGGAAAGUUUUUAUUAGUUAAAAUAAUAUUUCUUUCUUUUAAUCAUUUGACCAAUCAAACCUGUCCAAGAUAGUAAGUAUAUAUUUCAAUAUAUGUUGUUGUAUGGAAAAUUAAAGAUUGCAUCUCAUGAAAACCUUAAAAUACAUAGCUAAGAAAUCUGUUUACCUGUAGUACCCUGCCAGUCGUGACUUAUUGGCAUUGACUGGCUAACCUAUUUGAACUUCAUAUUUUGGAUGAAAUAUAAAAUAAUAAAUAUUAAGUAGAUAUAAAGUAAUUUGGAUUUUUAAUGCUACUUUUGUGCUUGUGUGUAGAGUGCUUUCAAAGUAGAUUGCAUGAACUGCACCCUUUCAGAUAUUUCCUUUAAGCAACAUACCACUUCCUUACUUAAACAACUGACUCUGACUUUAUGAAAAAGCCAAUAUAUCAUAUAGUAUGUAGUUUGAGAAAGAACUAAGCAGAUAUGCAAUAUUAAUAUGAAGUGCAGCAUUAAUAUGAAACAAUACACCUGCAAACUGAAAAAGGAAUGAACUAAUCUAACAAGCUACCUCAAAUAUCAGACAAAAAAUUCAAGGAGUAUCUUUUUCUUUUCUCUCACCCCUUCAUGUGUACAUUAGAUUUUAAGACAUUGAGGAUAUUGUCUAAUUUAAGUUUUUGGGAUAGUGAAAAAAAAUGUAAAACAUUGAGUUUUUAGUUUUAUUUUUUUGUGUGAUUGAGUAUUUAUUGCUUUAUUUUAUAUGAGAAACUAGGAAAAAUGCAAAAAAUUUUAAAAAUUUUCCAAAAAAAUUCUAUUUUUUUAGUUUGCGUGUUUGUGUAGGUUAGAUGGCUUUGUUGACAGUGAUGAAUAUUAUUGGAAUUAUGUAUUUAUUUAUGAACUUUGGAUAGGUUACAUGCUUAAAUUAAUUUAUUCUUAUCCAUAUAAAACUUGGUACUCUUUGCACACAUGAAUUGAUUUUAGCAUUAUAAAGUAACGAGUUGAAUAGUAUCAUUGAUAGGUUGAAACAGGCAGAUUACGAUAUUCAAUCCCACAACCUAUUAUUUAUUACAUCCUCGAACCUUGUAUAGUAUAAUUUGGGGGUGCUUGAGCCGGUGAAAGAGAUGAUCUAAAAUGUGUUGGUUCCAUGCAUGUUGAAAAAAAUAUGUGUGACUUCAUCUUCAACUAUCAAGUAUAAACUAGGCAAUGACCAUAUUAUAAGGAUUUAAGGCCCACCUAUGUAUGCCUUAAAAAAAUUGAAAAAGGGCAUUGCAUUUGUUGGUUUUUUACCUCACGUCUUCACCCUUUUUAAUUCGAGUUAGGAAGUAGUUAGGGUAUCUUGAAAUUUGGUACCCUUUGAUAUUUAAAAAUUAUAUCAACUAAAAGCUCGUUACAUGGUUAAAGAAGAGAGAAAAAAAAAAGGUGAGGUUGAUCCUAAAAUGGAAAAAAAAAAUCAAAAUAAGUAAGUAAUUAUGCAAUUGUGCAAGUAGGAUCAAUUGUGGGAGCUUAGAUAACUAUUAGGUUUGAAUUGCUUAGUAUAAACUUGACUGCCAAUGCACUCAAAUUUUUGAUGAAUCAUUACAUGCAUAGAAUCUUGAUGUUACUGCUUAAACUCAAUCAAAUUAGAGCGGUGCAAGGAAUUAGUAAUUGAAAGUCAACCUUAGAAUAUACUUUGGGAAGAGAAUUAAAGAAAAUAAGUUUGGGGUGUAUAAAUUUUACGAGUGAAGAAAUGACAAAUUUGACUACAGAGAGUCGGGAAUCGAAACAACUUGCGAAUUUAUGAUGUUUAACUUAAUUCUUCACACACACAUCAGCUUCGCUUGGAGAGGUUGAUAUUGACUUUGGUAUUGUGACCUUCAAGCCUUUAAAUAUUGAUAUUUUGAAGUUCUUUUGAUUAGUAAUGUUUUAAUUCAUUAUAUAUUUGUUUAUUAGGUGAAACGAAAGAAUGGAAAAGGCGUUGAAAGAAAAAAGCGGGAAUUUACCAAAAAAGACAAAUAGUAAGUACAUAUAUUGCAAUAUUUCCAUAGUUGAUUUGGACCGAAUGAAGAUUGGAAAUGUUACAGAUUCAAUUGAAUGCAAAUUGAAGCUGAAUGACAAAAAUAGGUAGAAAGGAAAGUGAAGGGUCAAAAAAUUGAAGAGAGGAUGAAACGAAGGACCAAAACGCAGAUUUAGAUGCCUGACAUGAAGUUUCAAAAACAGUAGCUCAAAACAUUGCCUGGAUGAGCACUCGGGUUUUGCCUGGGCUUUCUAUCUAGGACUCAUGGCCAGCUUCCUUUUUCGUCCAAAAUUCUACAUGGAAAGCAAUUCAUUGCACAAUUUUUGAACUAAUUUCACCUCUAUAAAUACCAAACACAGUCAGCCAAUAAAAAUAACCUCAAUAUAAUCAGUUAUUAUCAUUAGAGGGAGGCGAAAUACAGUCUUCUGAUAGAAUUGAAGAGGACUUGGAAGAAUUCAAUCAAAUGAAAACUCAAUCUUGGUUUUUCGAAAAAUAAGAGAAGGCGCAAUUGAAGAUUCAUGAAGAAGCCAAUGAAGAUUCAAAUUUCAAUAUUCAUCUUCAUCUUUAUCUUCUCAAUUUAUCAAAAUAUGGAUUAUGUUUUUCCACUUAAACAUGUUUUCCUGUAAUGUUUCAAUGCCAUGCUAAGUUUUUAAUUACUAAGAUGUAGAUGAACCCUUAUUAUGAAGUUUUUAAUAUAAAUAAAAUAUUUUAACAUCCAAUAUAUGUUAUUCCUUGGAUGCAUGUUAUUGUGUUUAAUGCUUAUCAAUUAAUUAGCUACUAAUUGGAAUGAUUUGUGAAUUUUAUUGAUUUCGAGAGAAAUGAUAAAGUAGAUAGCACCUAUAACAACCAUUGUAAAAUUUAAUAGGGAAUAGAGAUAUACGCUAUGCUUUGCAUGAAUUCUAUAGAUUUUAUAAAGUUUCUAAUGAAUGCUAUAUAUAUAUAUAUAUAUAUAUAUAUAUAUAUAUAUAUAAUUAACAUCUAGAGAUGCUUUUAAUUAACUUAGAAACAUUGAUUAACAAGAAUGUGCAUAUAUUAUCAUGAUAUUGAAAAAAAAUUAUAAAUUUGCUCAAUGCAAUAGUUGAUUAAUUAGUUUUACAUAAAUUCUUCAACAAAAAUUUGCUAUUUGAUUAAGGAUGAAAUUAAUUCAUACUUGAUAAAGUACAUAGUCCUCGCAGGGAACGAUAUCUUACUUAUCAUUUAUUACUUGUUUGAGUCCGGUACACUUGUAGGAAAUCAAACGAUCAACUUACAAUCAGUAUGAUCCAUCUAAACUUGAGAAGGUGAAAAUUAGAAUAAACAUUUAACCUUGGAUUGCACAUUGGAAAAAGAGUAGAAAGAAUAAAUUUGGUGUGUAUGAAUCUCACAAUUAAAGAAAUGACAAAUUUAAUCAUUGAAGAUCGGAAAUUGAAACAACUUAUGAUUUUGUAAUAUUAUACUUGGAUUUUUCACACACUCACAUCAGUUUUGCUUUGAAGAAGUCGAUGUUGAUUCGGUAUUGUAACUUUGAAGCUAUUUAUAGAUAUAAUAGAAUGAUUCGAACUUCGACACGAAAUGACAGGUUAUCUAACCAAAAUGUUGUUGCGUGAUUGUUUAUUUUUAAGUUAAGUUAUGGUUUUAUUCGAGGACAAACAAAUGUUUAAAUUUGGACUGCUUGAUAAGUGUAGAUUAUAACCUUAUUUAGAUCUAAAAAUAUAGAUAUUUAAUAGUUCUUCUAAUUAAUUAUAGUAUAAUUUAUUGUAUAUUUUAUUUAUUAGAUGAAACUUUAUGAUUGAAAGUGGAUUUGAAAUAAAGAAGCAAAGAAAAGACGAAAAAUGGUGGAAUCUAAAGUUUGAGGACUCAAUUGUAACUUUUCAAUAGUUGAUUGAAGCCACAAAUGAUAACUAAAGAUUUCUAGGAUUCAAUUUGAUGAAAUUAGAAGUAAAAAAGGAGUGAAAUAUGGUCAAAGUAUUUUCACAAAUAAAAUUUCAACCACAAAUGUUAUGUUCUAAAUUUUAGCCACAUAUUGAGACCCAUUUUUGGCAUAGUAAACAUUCGAAUGAGAAAAAUGCUAUUUCGAGUAAUUGUAGCCUCUUGAGUUAACUUUCUAAAGCAUUUCAAAUUGCCUAUAUCAAAUAUCAGAAAAGAACUGUAUGACAAAAAUACCGACAGCUACAUGGCAACAAAAAUAUGAGCUCUCAAUGGCAAAUUUCUUAACUCAAUUGGAACACUUCUUGGAUUCAAUUUUGGAUGAGUUCUAAUUACUUGAUUACUAAUUAGAUUAAUUGUGAAUUUUACAGAUUUCAAAAGAAAAAAAAAAGGAUAGAAAACAUUUUAUAACUGUCAUUUUAAAGGUCGAUAGAAGCUAGAGACACAUUGCUAUGCUUUACAUAAUUUCUAAAGAUGUUCUAGCAUUUUUAAAACAUGCUUUCAUAUUCACGUUUUUUCUUAGAGUUAUAUAAAGAUCACAUGAGGGGAUGUAUUUAAUUGACAUUGAGAAAUGUUUUUAAAUAUCUUAUAAACAUUGAUCAACAAGAAUAUGCGUAUAUAGUCAUGUUAUUUAAUUGUAUUGAAACUAAUUAAUAAGGGGGAUUCGAGUUCUUAAUAACAUUUCAUCUAGAUUUACAAAAUCUUCAUAAUUUGCUCACUAGAAUGCUUAGUUUAAUUAGAUUAAUUAGUAUAAAUUCUUCAAAUACAAUUGGCUAUUCGGUUGGAGUUAGAAUCGAUUGAUCCUUCAUUAGUUACAUAGUCUUUGUGGGAGCGAUGUCCUACUUAUCACUUUAUUAGUUGUUCGUUGUACCGUACUCUUGCAGGAAACUAGACAAUCAUAAGGCUCAAUAAUACAAUUGACAAUAUUUUUACCAUUUUUACUUCAUAAACAUAGUCCAAUAGUGUACAUUUAAAUUGGGCAAAAUUUUUGUUGUUAGAUUUGAUGGUUGUGUAUACAUAUAUAAAACAUUGUUAUCUAGUUCUAGUAGUCUUAAGUAGGAUUGGACAUGGUUUGAUCCGGUUCGAUUUGAUUUUAAAGAGAACUGAAUCAGAUCUAAAAUUUUCGGGUAUUUAAAAAGUGGAACCGUAAGAUCCAAAUUUAAUUAUGAAACCAUUCGGGUUGAAUCCCAUUUGGUUCGGUUCGGUUUGGUUCGAUUACAUUCGGUGCACGGGUUUUGUACUAUAAUUAAAUUUGUUAAUAUUUACAACAUUACAUUGAUUCAAUUAAUGGCAUGUUCAAUUUAUCAAUUUAGCUCUUACUAAAUAACGUAGUCCAAUCUUAUAUAUAUCUUGUGCUUCUCUUUUUGCUAAGUUUUGUAUAAGAUUUGAUUGUUAAAAUUACGGAAAGAUGAAGAUAACGAGCUCACAAUUAAUUAAAAGAUUAACAGUCGAGCAUCAAUUCAAUUUCUCGAUACUAUGUUAGAAUAUCGAAUUUGAGUAAAACUUAGGUCAAUUUGAUUAAGUUGAUUAGAAAUAGGAAAACCAUAUCUUUGGGUUUGAGCAAAAUUAAUUAGUUAGUAAAUUUAUUUAAAAAAUAAAAUAAUUUAACUUAUUUAAAAUAAAUUAAUUAAAAAUAUUAGGAAGAUUCGGUUCUUAUUCAGUUCUUCGGCUCUUGAUCGAGAACAAAAAAUGGAGCCAAACUCGUCGGUUCUCAAUUUAAAUACCUGGUCUGGUAUUUAACUUAAGAAGAACCGCUCGAUUUGAUUCAGUUGAGAUCGGGUCCAGUUCGGUUCUGAAGUUUUGUCCGAUUUUAUUCUUAAGUAAAAGUCUAUGUGGCAGUGAGAUUUAUAGCCUAAAUUGGAUCAAAAAUAUAUAUAUAUUUUAUGUGAGUGUGUGAGGGGAAAGAAUGCAAUUGGACAAAUAUCAGAUAGAUAGGAUUUAUCGCUUUUUGUGUGUAUAUCCAUUAUUUGAUAAAUAAGUUCAUGAUGUGUUCCAAAAAUUAAAAUAAAUUUGUAAUUUAUGUGAAAUAUCACUAUUGAUUUAUUUAUACUAAGCAAUUGAGAUUAUUACAUAAUUUUCAAAAUAUUGAUUAGUAGAUUUGCUGAGUAGUACUAAGCACCCGUCUAAGUGCAAUGGAAUCCAUGCCUGCAACUAGUCAAAUGAUGCACACUUUUUUAUUCGAAGUAUUUAUAGGUAAUAAAUCCCAAUACCACAUAUAUGGGUAUUUAACGCCACUUAAACUAAAUGAAACCCCCCUCCAGACCCAUACCUUUUCCUUGUUUGGCAUAAAUUAAAAUUCAGAUUUUAAUUUGAGUCAAAAUCAAUAAUCAAUUUUUACCACAUAUUUUAUGGGACCCACACUUUUUCAACCAUACAUUUUCAUCAACUUUUAUAAAAAUCUAUUAAAAAUAUGAUUUUAAUCCCCUCCUAACAGGGCAUAAUAAACACACUCACACUCGACCAUCAACCUUAACAACUAAAUUUUUAUCAAGUUUCUCUCUCUCUCUCUCUCUCUCUCUCUCUCUCUUAUAUAUGUGUGCGCGCACACACACGCAUCCAUGCCUGCAAUUGGUCAAAUGAUGCACACUUUUUUAUUCAAAGUAUUUAUAGGUAAUAAAUCCCAAUACCACAUAUAUGGGUAUUUAACGCCACUUAAACUAAAUGAAACACCUCCUCCACACACACACAUUUUCCCUAUUUGGUAUAAAUUAAAAUUUAGAUUUUAAUUUAAGUCAAAGUCAAUAACCAAUUUUUAACACACAUUUUUUAGGAUCUACAAUUUUUCAACCACACAUUUUAGCAACUUCUAUAAAAAUCUAUUAAAAUCUAAUUUUAAUCCCCUCCAAACGAAGCAUAAUAAACACACUCACCCUCGACCAUCAACCUUAACAACUAGAUUUUUAUCAAAUUGCUCUCUCUCUCUCUACACACACGCACACACACACACACAUACAUACCCCUAUUUGAUGGUCAUUAGUGUUGUAAAUAUGAUAUUUUGAAUAGUGAUUUUUUUGAAAAUAUAUGGUUAAAGAGUGGAAAAAAGAUUUGGAUUUAUAAUACAAAAUAUUUUAUUGUGUAAAUAUAUGGUUGUAAAUGAGUAUGAAAAAAUAAAUUAUUUUGUUCUAAAGUGAAUCAAAUACGUGCAUAGAGAGAUUGUUACUAAAUAAUUCUCCAUCAGUCCGUAAAGAUGGACUUAACUUCCUUAGUCAUGUGCUCCAAAUUAUAGUCAUGUUUUUUUUUGUUAAGAUUAUAGUUGAUUUCUUAUUUUCCUAAUAUACCCCAAUUUAGUGUGUCAUAUUUAUCACAAACAUUAUUAUUUAAUUGUAGUUGGAAUAAUAAAUAAAACACCAAAAAAAUGCACAUUUCCAACAACUUGUUGAAAUUAGCAAUUUAUGUUUUUGGAGGUUUGGUAAUUUGUUCAAUUUCAUGUUAGCCAACCUUGCAUCGUUAAGUACAUUGAACCUUCCACUAAAGAAUAAUUUGUUCCAAAACUAAUUCAAUACUUCAUGGCCAUCUAGUUUCAAUAGAGUAACGAGUCAUCUAAUAUUAAUGUAGGUUUAUAUUAAGAAAAAGAUUAGUAAAUUUAUUGUUCCAACUAUAUGAACUAAUUUUUUUUUAUUUUUUAUUUUAUUUUUUGAUCUGUGUAUGAAAAUGGAAGCAAGCAUCUUUAAAGGGCUCACAGAGUUUAGAUGAGCCAUUUCAUCCAUCCAGGUUGUCAAAAAACUGUUAUUGAUGUACACAUAAGCAAGUGUUUAAAGCAUUAUUCCUAAGCCAAUGAAUGCAAAAACACGUAAACUAAUGAAUAAAAUGUAAUACUAUAAUAGAAUCAAUUACAAGUUAUCUCAUAGGAGGUUGUUAUUUGUCAUUUUUCCUAGAUGACCCAAUGUCCCUAAAGCCUUAAGGGAAGUUUAUAAACGCUCUUGCUUAAAAGCAUAAAAUGCAUGCAAAUUAAAAUAUCUCUCUAUCAAAUAGCAAUUUUUCCUCUUGUUCCAGUUUGAUCUUCAAAACUAGUGAUUUUUGGAGGUAAAAAUCCUAAUUAGGUGAGGAUUUUAUUGUUUCGAUUUGUACCGUCAACAAUUAUUUUAGCUACUCUUCUAGAUUCAGAUGCCGGUGUGGCACUUAUGUUUACUCCCUACACGGGAGAAUGAAAUAGCUCAUAAACUAUUUCCAUUAACUACUAUUUUGGGUGCCAAAAUGAACUUUUUAAUAGGUUUGUUUGCCGGUUUCUAUUUCGUCUGUCGUUUUGGAGAUUUGGCUCCUGUUUGGGCUCCAUUUUAAUUUAAUACAUUUUUUCUCUCUUCCAAAAUAAAAAAUAAAAAAUAAAAAAAGAAGAAAUUUUUCUCCGAGUUUCAAUUUUUAGGAUUAUACGUCUACCACAUAUAGGAGAAUUUAUGGCAACAGAGAAUUAAUUUAAGAAGAAAUUGUGGACGAAGCCACCAUGGAAUUUCUGCUAGAAAAUGUAAAGCAACUAAUUAUUUUCAAUGCACAUUUGAUUCUCGAUGUAGUUAGUACCAUCAAGUCAUUCUGACUGAUUAGUGAGGUACUCUUGCAAAUGAAGAGCAUGCAACACAGUAAAAUCAAUAUUUUCCUUUUCUGUCAUAGAAUUUAAACUGCCUUUUUUUUUCCUUUGAAUUAGUCAACGAGAUAUAGAAGGAAACAUUCUCAAUGAACGAAAAACAAACAGUCAAGAAGAAGAUUUGCAGCGGAACAAAUUUUAUGAUCUUUAUUCAUUUUAUUGUUUAAAUGGGUUACUAUUUGAUAAAAAGAAUGUCAGAUUUUCAUAUAUUGGCAUUGCAAAAACUUUGGAAAAAUGAAAUUAUUUUAGUAAAUAUAUUUGGAUAUUUAAUAUGGGAACACUAACGUGAGAAGGAAUCUAUUUUACGAAUUCCCAUAAACUAUCUUCACUAACUACUAUUUUGGGUGACAAAAUUAUUUUGAGAUUAAUUUUGCAGUAAAAAAAAUGGCUACAGUCAUUUGAGUAUGUGAAAUUUGAUUUUUGACAAAAUGUAUUUGGAAGUCUAACGAGCCUGCGUGUGAAUUGAGCCUGCAACUUGCUACUUUAAGGUAUAAGUGUUUCGUGGAUUUAACAUAAUAACAUGUGGUACGUGGUAAAGAAUAGAAGUUUUUGAAAUGUUGUGAGAUCCAUGAGAAAUGUGGUUAAUAUUGAUUGUUUGACUUUGAUUUAGAUUAAAAUCAGAUUUUAAUCAAAACUAAACAUGGGCUCAAUUUUUAGGAUUAUGCAUCUACCAUAUAGGUGAAUUUAUGGUAUCGAAGAAUUCAUUUAAGAAGAAAUGGCGGACGAAGUUUCCGUGGGACGGAGGAAGUAAUCUUUUUUAUCCACGUCUAAAAUGGAAGCAAAUAUCUUUACGGAACAUAGAGAGUACAAGUUAAUAUUUUUUUCUUAUUCCUUUAUAUUGUGUUCCCCCUUUUUGAUUUAUAUGGGCACAUCUCCUUUUAAGUUAAAUAAAUAAAUAAAUAAAUUUGUGCAGUUACAAGUAAUUUGGAUUGAAACAUUGGCUGUGAACAAACUUAAUUACAGGAAUAGAUGGUAAUUCUGAACGACAAGAAAUCUGUUGAGACCACGAGCUGAAAAAAUUCAAGGGUUUCCCACAAUAUUAUACACCUUUAUGGUGCUAGGAAAUACACAUCAUUCAUAUGGCAAGAGAAUGGAAUUAUUUGGACGAAUAAUGCUAUGUAAUCUCAUUAGGAUUAUAACUCCAAUCUAGACGAAGAUAAAUGAUGGGCUGUACGAGAUGUAAAAUUAAAUGGUUAUUUAAUGUCACAUUAACACUAUCUAAAUUAGGAUUAUAAUUCCAAUGAAAUUAGAUAUCAUUACUCUAUUUGGACUGAUUCUAAAUUAAAUGUUUAGUCUCCCCACAUUGGAGGGUCCACAUCGGAGGGACCCACUAAAAGAAGAAAUUAAGGACACUGUAGGAACUCAAUUGGACCAAAGAUGCAAAAGUUUGCAUAGAUUAUUGUGCAUAGAAAACGAUGCCCCCUUCAGCCUUUCUAUCAAUUUUGCUCCUUUCCCUGCAAUAAGGGGCGUUUGGGAGGAAUUUUUCACCUCUAAAAAAUUGAUUUUUAAUCAUUAUUUUAUUAUUUCGAUCGCAAAAUUUGAUUUCUUCUUUCACAGAUGGCCCCCACUUUUCUCCUAACGAUUAAAAAAUUAAAUCUCAAAAUCGCUCCCAAACAGGGCCUAAAUCUAUUAGUAGUUUAUUGGAAACAAAGAAUAGAAACUAUGCUCCAUAUAAAUCUCGAGCGUUAAACGUAUUUAUAAGGAAAAAUUGCAGCCAAGGUACCAAACCUUUUGUUUAUUAACAGACUUUGUCCAAACUCUUCAUUUGUGCCAUCGGAGGUACAAAACCUUUAAAAUCUUCGUAGAUGCAAUCCAAAAUGACAAUUUUCGUUUGUUUGAUCAUCAAAACCGUUAGUUGACUCCAGUAAUUAAAAAUUUAACAAUUUUUCCUAAGUAAGUGAAGGGCAAUUUUGACAUUUAAUAAGUCUCAAGUUCAUCUUCUUCAACAACCCCGCUACCUCUAACCUCCCCAAAUCAGAUCAGAAGAGUCAUCCCUAUCCCCAACCUCCCAAAAUCAUAUCAAAAGAUUUACCAUCGGCUACCGUCAACCACGAUGCGAUUCCUCCGACGAUGAGUGUUGUAUAUGUGUGUAAAGAUGCAAUUCCCCCCGCAUGCGAUUUCUCAGUUUCUUCAUUUUCCACCGUUUUCAACAAAAAUCACAUCUUCAUCACUAAGAUGUGUGGUGAGGGUUUCACUUGGAGCAUAUUGUAAAAGGACGUUAAUGUGUUAUCGAUAUUAAUUUGUAAGGAUAAUUUACAGUUUGCGUUUGAAUUUUUGAAGAGGGGCUGGAGAUUCAAAUUGAGUUGGGUGUUAGGAUUUUAGUGGGUGUAUACAUAUUGAUAAAAGCUUACCUCUUUGAGAAGUUCUUGAAGCCAUUUCAAAUGUACUGUGCGGUGGUCGGCAAUAUUUUAGUUGGUGUAUAGGGUAUAUUAUGGAUGGGAGACGGUCGAUAUUCCCUAUUUCUUUAACUUGGUUUAAUUUGCAGGUUAUCAAUUAUUUCUUCGCUAUUGUGCCGUCGGCCUUGCUGGUGUUGGAUAGCAGUGGUGGUUGUUUGAUUUUGGGAGGUGGGAAACGAUGUGGUGUGGGGGUGAAGAAGACAACCCUUUUAUUUUAUUUUUUUUCCUUUUCUAUUUCAUUUUUUAUUAUUUAAGGUUUUAGAAUUGUGAAGUUACUAUUUUGCCCUUAUAUUUGAUUAAAUUCUACUAUUUUGGUCAACUAACUGUUUUGGCGGUCAAACAGACAGAAACCGUCAUUUUGGACUAGCCCUACGAAUUUUUUAAAGGUUUGACACCUCUAAUAACACAAAUGAAAAGUUUGGAUAAAGGCUGCUAAUAAGCAAAAUGUUUGGUAUCUCAACUACAAUUUUCCCUAUUUAUUACCAAAAGUUUCGAGGCAUUUUGUUUUUUAAGUUGUUUCAAAGUUAUCAGUAUUCGCAAAUACAAUAAAGAUAAAGCUAAUAUAUUAAUUUGAUUGCUUGCUAUCGACUAGUUUAAAAAAUAUUGACAUUGAUAGUCUUUUGAAGGUCCCAUAUCAUGCAAUUAGAAAAUCAAUUAAGAUGAAUUCCACUCGUAAUCGAAAAUCUUGUUUUGUCGAAAGGUCUCAAUCUUUAUCCAUUUUAUUGUUUAAAUGGUAUGUCACAUUUUCACUUAUUGUAAGGAAUUACAAAAGAAGUUAUUUCAACAAAGAUGUGAGUUGAGUAGGAUUGGUGGAAGAAAUAUGAACCGAAGACGGAACCUUGAUAUACCCUAGAACAAUACAUUUUUGUUACCACGAGACAUAUUGGUAGCCGCUGAACAUUUGAUUGAAUUGAAAUUUAGAAUAGGUACACUUGAAUGAAUCAUUUGAAAAAUAAACGUCUUCAUUCUAUAGCGGAUCUUGCAUUUCAAAACUUUAGUUGAAAAAUGAAAUUUAUUAAUUAAAUGUAUUUUGAUAUUUAAUAUGGGAACACUAACUUGAGAAGGAAUCUAUUUUACAAAUUCCCAUAAACUAUUUUCACUACCUACUAUUUUGGGUGCCAAAUUGCACUUUUAAUUGGAUUGUUUGCCUGUUUUUACUUUUUCCAUAGUUCAGGAGAUUUAGCCCCCUUUUUGGUGGUCAUUAUUUAUUUAUUUGGGAGAAAACAUUGUUUUAAAUAGUGAAUUUUUCUUUUCUAUUUUCUGGGAGAAUGUAUGGUUAGAAAGGUAGAAAAAAAGGUUUUGGGUUUUUAAGUGUAUAAUAUUUUAUCGAGUGAAUGUAAUUAAAAAUGAGUAUAUAUAAAAAGGAGUUGUGUACCAAUAUGAGACAAAAGGAGACUUACCCCAUUUGGAAGUGAUUUUGAGAAUUGAUUUUGUUACCAUUAGGUGAAAAGUGGAGGCCACAUGUGAGAGAAGAAGUUAAACUCUACGAAUGAAAUAGUGAAAUAAUUAUCAAAAAAUCAAUUUUUUUAGGUGAAAAUUCACUCCCAAACACCCCCUUAAUUCAAUGAGAAGUUAAUUUUGCUUUAGAAAAAAAAAUGGUUAUUUGAGUAUGAGAAUUGUGUGACUUUUCACAAAUUGUAUUUGGAACUCAACGAGUUUCCGUGUGAAUUGAGCCUGCAACUUGCUACUUUAAGAUAUAAGGGUGUGUUUGAUAGCACACUAUUUUCCAUGGAAAAUGGAAAAUCAAUACCAUUUUUCAAUUUUUGUAGUGUUUGAUAGGUAAAAUUUUUCAUGAAAAACGAAUUCCACCUUUGUUGGCCACAUCACCAUUUUCCAUGAAAUCUAAUUCCAAUUCUCACCAAAAUGGUGAGAAUUAGAAUUCUCGGUUAUUGUAGCAUUUUUAAAUUUUAUUUUUUAUUUUUUUAAGCAAUGGAAAUAAAUUCUAAAAAUUAUUGUAAAAAAAAUAUUUCCUUUUAAUUGACAAUUUUCAUGUAAAACAAAGCCAAACGAACACUAAAAGAUAGAUGAUUUUUUAAAAAUUUUUUGUUAGCAAUGGAAAUAAAUUCUAUAUCCAAUACCAGUAAAUUCUAUCGCUUUAAUUGACAAUUUUUAUAUAAAACAAAGUCAAAUGAACAUCAAAAACACUUUUAUUUCAAUAUUUUUCACAUGAAAAAUUAUACUAAUCAAACACAAUAAUUUACAAUUUCCAGAAAAAUAAUUUUUAGGUAACUCAAUUCCCUAAAUUUAUUUUCUUUUACCCAAAUUUCAUAUUUUCAAUCAAACGUACCCUAAGUGUUUUAUGGAUUUAAUAUUUGGUAUGUGGUAAAGAAGAAAGAGAUUAUAGGUUGUCUUGAGUAGGCAUAUAAAUAAGCCUAAAGUUAAGUUCAAAUUCGUCCAAAAUUAAAUAAAAAAAUAAUUUCUCUCAGUUUCAAUUUUCAGGAGCAUACAUCUACUACAUAUAGGCGAAUUUAUGGUAAUGAAGAAUUAAUAUAAGAAGAAAUGGCAGAUGAAACUGCGUGGGACGAUGGGAGUAAUUCUUUUUAAUAAUAUUAAAUAAAAUUUCUUAAUACGUUUGAAAAACAAAAUCAACUUAUAUAAAUAAGAUAGAGAGAAUAAUUUUUUUGGAAAAUCCCAAACGACCCACGUCGUUGACACUUCGGGUGAUCGCACCCUCACAUGGCCGGCGUGGGUCCCCAAUGAAUAAAAUAAUCCUGACCUCCCAUAUGUUUGUAUUAUAUCAAUCAUGCGGUCAUCUGCGCAAAUUAUGUAGUUUGGUCCAAAUUUUUUUUGUACAUGUUAAGAUGGAAGUAAAUAUCUUUAUGAGACAUGAAGGGUACAAAUUAUGCACCCGUUUGGCCUCCAUUCUCAUUCUCUCUAUCUCUCUCUCUUAUUUUCAACCACACAAUCUUCCAUAAAAUAAUAUUACACGUAAAUAAAAAACUUUUCGUUCUUUUUCUUAUUCUUUUUUAUUUUUUUCAGCUUUCUGACUUACAAGUAAUUUGGAUUAAAACAUUGGGUUUGAACAAACUUAAUUCCAAGAAAAGAUAGUAAUUUUCAUCGACAAGAAACAAAUUUGAAAUUGCCCAAACUAUCUUCAUUAGUUACUGUUUGGGCGACAAAAUGAACCUCUAAUUAGAUUGUUUGGUAGGUGAACCGUGACUUUUCCCAAAACGUGCUUGGAAGUCAACGAGUCUCCGUUUGGUAGGUGGUAAUUAAAAGAAGAAAGGGAUUAUAGAUUGACUUGGGUAGACCUAUAAAUGAGCCCAAAGUUAAGAUCAAAUUCAUCCAAAUUUACAUGAAAAAAAAAAGAAACGGAAAAAAAAUUCUCACGGUUUCAGUUUUUAGGAAUAUACACAUACCAUAUACAGGCGAAGAAUUAAUUUAAGAAGAAAUGGCGGAAGAAGCUGCCGUGGGACUGGGAUUUCUGCUAGAAAACUUGAAGCAGCUACUUCUUUAUAAUGCACAUCUGAUUCUAAAUGUGAAGAGCUACGUCGAAUCUCUGCACAACGAUCUGCAAUUGUUCAACGCCUUUCUAAAAGACAUGGCAAAAAGGGACAACAACCCUGAAGUCCCAAAUACACUGGUGAAGCAAAUCAGAGACGUUGUGUACGAAGCAGAAGGCUGUGUGGACAUGUAUGUUUCUCGGUCAGCUAUGCAAAGGACUCGAAGUGGCCUAAUGAAAGUUGUCCAUAUAUUCGAUGAUCCGACGAAGCGUCGAGAUAUGGCAGAGAAGAUUAAGUCUAUAAGGGCCAUGGUCAACGAUAUAUUGGAUGAUACGCGAGAUACGGCAGUGGAGAAUAAGUCUAUGAGGGCCAAGGUCAAUUAUAUAUAUCAAGACAAGAAAUAUGGGUUUGAAGCCCAGCUAGUUGCUGCUCCUCCCGACAAAAAGGAAGAGGUAAAUUGCCAUUACUCUCUCCGAUUAGUGAUUUUAAUUGAUGAACUUGUUGAUUGUGUUUACAAUUUAUCAGUUCCGAGCAUAUUUGGCUAAGCAUAACAAAAACUUGGUAAUUUGUUCAAUACUGGGCAUCUUGAGUGAAUCUUGAUAUUAGAAAUCAGUGGAACGUUUCCAUAAAAUAAGGAAACGCCAGAUCUGAUGAAUUCAAUAAGAACAAAAUUUAAGUUGACAUACCUCCCCUGUUGUUUCGAGAAUUAAUUCAUUUUAAUACUAAUUUUAAAAAUGUAAUUUAAAGCCAGUUUGACGCACUUCUGCUACUUGUAGAAAAGCUCUUCUAUCCAAACAAAGCAAUUUGAGAAAACAUGUUUUAUUGUAGCUUCUUUAUAUCAGAAGUGGUUUUUAUCUUUUCAAAAGCCUUGCCAUAUAGAGCCUUACUCUCUAAAUAAUUCAUUGUAAUUUAUAUAUAUCAUUAAAAUAUAUGACUGAUAAAGUAUGUUUUAUAGUCCUGCUUGACAUCCUUUCCUUUAAUUUAAUUUAUUUCUCAUACUCAUUUUUAGCCAUACAUUCACACAAUAAUAUAUUCUACAUGUAAACUCAAACUUUUUCCUACAUUUUUAACCAUAUAUUCUCCAAAAAAUACUAUUCAAAACUAUAUUUUUUAGAUUAUAAAGAUGUCAAACCGGGGCUUAAUCAGGGAGUAAUACUAUCUAUUAUUAGUAGAUAUGCAUUACUAGUUAAUUAGGUGGCAAUGGGUCCCUUGCUUUGUUUUUUAAUGUAUUAAAAUACAUUACAUCUCUAAUGGAUCAUGAAUCAGGAUUUCAUCGCCACCAUUACCACCUAACUAAUGAUGCAGCUCUACUAAUGACAAAUAGCAUUAUUCUUCUGCUAUUGAUCCAAAAUCUUUCUUUUACAGCGUAUCUUCAAACAGUUGCACCACUAAAUAUCAUUAUAGGAUUUGAGUGAAGUGUGUACUACUAAACUAAGUUUGUUACAAUCUUGAAUGUCAUUUGGUCUCCAUUUAAUUUCAGUACUUUUAUAACGAUUACUGCUCAUAUAUAUUCAAGGCCCCAAUUUCACCUCAACUGAUUAUCGCUCACUGUUUUAAAGGCUCCCAUUGUGGAAGACAACGUGGUUGGCUUUAAAGAUGAGGUCGAAAAAGUAACCAAACUUCUCAUUGAAGGACCUGAGGAACUACAAGUUAUAUCAAUAGUUGGUAUGGCAGGUCUUGGCAAGACAACGCUGGCUAAAAUGAUAUAUACUGAUCCUAAUGUUAUCUUUGAAUUCUACAAUCGUGCAUGGGUUUUUGUUUCUAAAGAAUAUAGUAAAAAGGAAAUGCUUCAGGAUAUUCUACAACAAUUUACUAAGCCUAGUGAUGUUGACAUGAAUGAAGACGAAUUAGCCGACGAACUUCGUAAAUUUUUGGAGAAAGGAAAAUAUUUAAUUGUCAUGGAUGACGUGUGGACUAACGAGGCUUGGGAUGAUUUUAAAACUGCCUUUCCUGAAAACAAGAACAAGAGUAGAAUUCUACUCACUACUAGUAUUGAGAAAGUGGCUAACCAUGCCAACCCCAACAUUGAUCCCUAUAAGUUGCGUUUUCUAACUACUGAAGAAUGUAUGAUUUUACUCCGAAGGAAGGCACUUGGAUCAAUGGAGUGCCCGGAUGAGUUGAGAGAACACGAACUGCAAAUUGUUCAGAAAUGUGAAGGACUACCACUUGCAAUAGUGGUGAUUGGAGGAAUUCUGCUAGGAAAAGGUAAGGAAAGUGAAUCGUGGAAAAAAGUUGCUGAAAGUGUGGAGGCAUUUAUUAACAUGGACAAUGAGAAAAAGAUGGACCAUUUUAUAGAAAUGAGUUUUAACAAUUUACCUUAUCACUUGAAAACAUGUUUUCUCUACUUUGGGAUAUUUCCUGAAGACUUCCAAAUUCCGGUGUGGAAACUGCUUCGCCUUUGGAUCGCUGAAGGAUUCAUACAGCAAAGUGAAGGAAUGAACAUGAGUUUGGAGGAUAUUGCUGAAGAGUACUUGGAGGAUUUCAUCAGCAGGAAUUUAGUCAUGGUUGGGCAAAGGAGGUUAAAUGGCAAAGUUAAAACGUGCCAUAUUCAUGACAUGCUACACUUGUUUUGCAAGACAAGAGCUGCACAAGAAAGUUUUUUCGUCGAAAUUACGCAACUUAAUCAAGCUACUUAUUCAUCUCCCAACAUUGACUCUGAAAAGUGUCGUCGCCUUUCCAUCAAUUCCAGAAUUUCGAACUAUCUCUUUUCAAAACCAAGUGGUCCACGUGUUCCACGUGUUCGGUCUUUUUUGUGUUUCUCCCAUGAAGAAAUAAGCUUGCAAAAUGAGCAAAAUUCUUCCAUCCCUCGUGCAUUUGAAUUGCUCAGGGUGUUAGAUGGUAAACCCAUCCAUUUCACUCGUUUUCCUCCUGAUCUAACUCGACUUGUACAUUUGAGGUAUCUUGUUCUCUCCUGCAACUUCAAAAUACUUCCUGCAGCCCUUUCCAGCCUUUGGAACAUGCAAACUCUUGUAGUUGAGACAUCAUCACGCACCCUUGAAAUCAAAGCAGACGUAUGGAAGAUGAUUCGAAUGAGGCAUCUAAAAACAAACGUAUCCACAACAUUGAAAGGCCCUCUCGCUAAAUCAAGGAAAAGUAAAGAAGAUUCUCGGAACUUCCAAACACUUUCUACAAUAUCACCUGAAAGUUGUACAGAAGGUGUAUUUGCUGCUGCUCCAUGCCUAAGAAAAUUGGGCAUCCGGGGCAAAUUAGCUAAACUGUUGCAUAUCAAGCAUAAUGGAUCUAGUUUGUUCGAUUGUCUGGGAAAAUUGGAUUACCUCGAAAAUUUGAAGCUAUGGAAUGAUGUAUCUCCUCAACCACCUUCUGAAGGAAAAAUAAGCAGCCUUCCCCAAAACUACAAAUUCCCAUCGAACCUGAAGAAGCUAACAAUAGUAGAGACCAGGCUUGAUUGGAAGCAUAUGUCUACUUUGGGACUGUUGGAAGGCCUUGAGAUCCUGAAGUUGAAAGACAAUGCAUUCAUAGGAGACUUGUGGAAGUCCCAGGAUGGAGGUUUCCGUUCUCUGAUAGUCUUGCAUAUUGGAAGGACAGAUUUAGUUUAUUGGAAGGCUUCUGCUGUUCAUUUCCCACGGCUCAAGUGCCUUCAUCUUAAUCACUGCAGAAAGCUUGAUGAAGUCCCAUUCGAGCUGGCUAAUGUUCCAAGCUUCCAGAAAUUGGACUUGAAAUUUACCACGAGAGCAGCAGCUGUUUCUGCAAAAACUAUUUCGGAGCAUAAAAGGCAGCCUGGUGGUAGUGGAUUUGAGCUUUCGAUUUACCCUCCGGAUCAUUAUCAAUGAUCUCCAUUUGUUCAAGGCUCAAAAAUUCUACUUCAGAGGUAAUACAUUUAAAUCCUUGUUCUCUUUACUUGAUAUGUCUUUUCCUACUGAAAAUUUUGUUGGAAUUUGGUUAAGUAAAACAAAGAAAAGUUGAUUGCGUAUCAAUUUCGGCCAAAUAUCUGGACAUGUUCCGAUAGUCAAAUCACGCAACUGAAUACACUAACUUGUUCUACUCAUCGAGUCGAUGAUCGUAGUAUAUUUGGAAUCUCAAAACCAGUUUUGGAUGAAUAAGAAAUUGUUGUCCAAAGUUAGAAGAAAAACGGAAAUUCUAUACAUAAUAUCACCGCUCGAGCGGCAGCCUCACCUCGGGAUUUGGAUUUUCAUUUAUUUCAUAACGUUUGUUACCAACCUUUUGUUAAUUCCAAGCAAGCUUUACUUUAUUUAUUUCUUGUUUAAGAUUCAAUUUUGAUUAUCAAAAAGCGCACACACACACAUACACCAACAAACUUAAGAAACAUAUAUUUCAUGGGAAGAUCCAGGUUAGAAUUAUUCUUCCCGAAUAGUAGCACCCAGACAAGAUUGUUUUUUCUCCUCAAUCUAUUUCUUAAAAUACUUUGUGGAUAGAUGCUCUUUCCGCUAAUCCAUGAUCUGAAUCACAAAAACCUGAAAGAUAUGAAAUGGAAGUUCAAUCAAACAUGUAAAAAUUUAAUGAUAUGAUCAGCUUAAGGACUUGUAUAUUUGUGCAGGCAGAUAAUCAAAUGAACAAUGAUGUCUUGAAUGUUGAAGAAAGGAAGUUUAGAUGCAUGGAGCCAAUGUUUCUGUUCCCUGUGUUUUUACAUUUCGUUCAAUAAAAGGUUGCACCUUAUUUAAGUGUAUGUUGAACUUCAGAAUAUUUGUAUUUCUUUUUAUUCAGUGUGUUGUACUGCUGUAAUAAUUUUACCUUGCUUUAGUUUUUGAAUAUGGAAUUACUGCUGCC